UCAGUUUCAGAAACUAGGGCAUUCCAUACAAAGGCCUAAUCUCAAGCUUAUAACCUUCUGCAGGGACUCUCCCAUGGAUAGUACACAGGCUAUGUGACCUCAGAUUAGACUCUCCCAUGGAUAGUACACAUGCUAUGUGACCUCAGAUUACCAUUGUAAUACCCUAGUAGCUUCAUUGUUGUAACAAGAACCUCUGAUAGGCUAAUGUACGCUGCCAAAGUAUUUCAGGGGAAAUUUAUUAUGCAGUUUUUUCUCAUUAAGAUUAGUAAACUUCAUUGAAUGUUUCAUAGGGGAAAUUUAGACCACUUUACAGUGUAUUUACAAUUUUUAGGGUUUCAUAGUCUUGGCAGGGAAGUAACAUUUUUGAACCUGCUAUAUCUAUGAGAUGGUUUUACUGAUCACAGACUAUCUACUAACAGGAGCAUCUUUAUCAAUGGAAGCUGAAGAAUUAUGAGAAAGGAUGACACUGAGGGCCUUGAAUUUAUAAUAAACAGCCAAUGUUUAAUUAUCAUUUUAUUACAAAGCAAGGACACAUGGAGUUUAGGGUCCCUAAUAUGUGAUUAAGUAAGAAUUCUAUUUAGCAGAACCAAAUUAAGAUUUGCAGGUUUGUCCAAAAUAACUCUAUUAAAUUGUUUUGUUAUGAGCAAUUUAUUCAGAAUAUAGCAAUUCAUUUAAGCAAGCCCAGGUGAGAAUAGAUUGGGCCUGUGUUGCAGCUGUAAUGUGCUGAGCCAUAUCGAAACAAAGAAAUACAAGGCUUUCUUAAGCCAAUUGACCAAUUGAGUUGGAAUAGUUUCUUGACCACCUUGCCUCGGUGACCUACUAGAGUCUUGUUCUUGUGCUAGUCGCCAUGUGAUAAAUAUUAGUUGAAUAUAAAAAUUUAUAUUCAUUUUUGUUUUCAGCAGAUAUAAAUACAAAUUGGACACCGGAAAUACGGAUAUAUANNNNNNNNNNNNNNNNNNNNUAUAUAUAUAUAUAUAUAUAUAUAUAUAUAUAUAAAAGUAUGGAUAUAAGUUGGAUAAUUAAAUUUUAUGCUCAAAGAAUCAAAUAUAUUACAAAGUGGAUGGUACAUUAAGUUAAUAGUAUGUUAAUAUGGUCAUAUUUUUUUUAAAGGCUAUAAGUGCUAUAUAAAAUUAUAUAGGGUUUCAAAUAGAAUCGGACAUUCGGAUACGAAUUAGAUAAUUAUCUAUCCAUAUCUAUAUCCAUUUUUUUUAUGGCUAUAAAUAAAAAUAUAGAUAUUAGUCGGAUGUUCUUAUUUUUUUUUAUAUUCAGAUAAAUUGCGAUAUGAAAACUGAUCCAGAUAAAAAUUAUUCGAUCCACUUUCACCUCUACUUCUAUAUUUAUAAAUAUAAUCAGUUAGGUCUUACCUAACUAUUACCCUUCAACAAUAAAAAAAUUUCUUACCUAACUAUUUCUCCGGGGAAAUUUUUUUAUAAAAAAAACUCAUUUUGCUUCCCAUAAUCCAUGCAUUUAUACAUCCUAAUAGCCAGUCAACCAGGCACAUAUAGCCCAUGUCUGAAGAAGAUUCUUUGUUUGCACAAACACACACAUAUAAAAACCUGAUAUGAUAUGAGGCCUAUUUGCAUCAUUGCAAAUGCCAACAUUCAACCCAACAAAAACCAUGCGAGUAGAGUGAGAGCAUGAACGCCAGUCCCUCCGCCACGCCGCUGUCCCCCAACCUCGAGCCAUGCUUCCAAUCAGACCCUCUUCUCCCCUCCAGGAGCCUCGACAACGCCCACCGCCUGUUCGACCGAAUGCCCCGUCGCGACGCCUUCUCCUGGGCCACGCUCAUCUCCGCCCACGCCCGCCGCGGCCGCGAUCCCUCCGUUGCCCUCGUCCUUUUCCGCCGCAUGCUCGCUGCCGGCCUCCCUCCAGAUCCCUACUCCCUCGGCGCCGCCCUCCGCGCCUGCUCCUCUGCCGUUCUCCUUCGCCCCGCCCGGCAGUCCCACGCCCUCGCCCUCAAGUCGUCCCUCGCCGCCCAUCCCCUUGUCGCCGCGGCGAUCAUCGACGCGUACGCCGAGUGCGGCCACGCCGCCUCCUCUGCCCUCGUCUUCGAUUCCGCCCCACCAUCGGCACGGUCCAGCCGUGUCCUGUGGACCACCCUGAUCGCCGGCCUUACCCGAACCGGCGAUACGCUCGGGGCUAUGGACCGGUUCCGCCGGAUGCGGACGGAAAGCGUAGGCCCCACCCCCUUCACCCUCCCGACCGUCCUCGCCGCCUGCGCCUCCGAGCGCGCGCUCCGGUUUGGCCGCCAGGUCCACGGGUGUGCGGUCCGGACCGGCUUCGCCUCCAGCCCGUUCGUCACCAGCUCUCUCGUUAACCUCUACGCCAAAUGCUCCGAUCUCGCCAGCGCCAGAACAGUCAUUGAAUCGGCCGAGUCGGACGACUCGGUCUCGUGGAACGCUCUCAUUGUCUCGUGCUCGCGUAGCGGGUUAUAUGCCGACGUCCUCUCCCUGUUCGCCGAAAUGCGCCACCGAGGGCUCGAGAUGGACGAGUUCACGUACCCCUCCGCCCUCAACUCGGUCGCUUCCGCCGGGGACGCGCCCAACGGGAGCUCCCUCCACGGGUUGAUCCUAAAAGCCGGCUUCGAGGCCCACCUGCACGUGGCGAACGCUCUUGUCGACAUGUACGCCAAGUGCGGGAGCUUAAACUGCGCCCGCGGGGUAUUCGACCUGAUGCCCGAGAGGGACGUCGUGACCUGGACCGCCCUCCUCGCCGGCCUUGCUCGCCACGCGUCACACGAGUCGGCUCUCCAGCUCUACUCCGAGAUGCGAGAACUCGGCAUCGACUCGGACGAGUUCAUCACUGCCGGCGUGCUGAGCUCGUGCGCCGGGUUGACCCUGCUCGAACUCGGCCGGCAGGUCCACGCUAAUAGCAUUCGGGGCGGGUUCGACUCGUUCCUCUCGGUGGGGAACUCGCUGGUCACCAUGUACGCCAAGAGUGGGUGCAUGGAUGACGCUUGGACGGUUUUUGAUUCGAUGACCUGGCGUGACGCCAUCACGUGGACGGCUUUGAUCAUGGGCUUCGCUCAAAAUGGUCGGGGGAGAGACUCCCUUCGGCUUUACAAUGAGAUGACUCGGACCGGAGUUAAACCGGACUAUGUGACUUUCAUCGGGUUACUGUUUGCGUGCAGCCACGCCGGUCUUGUCGAGGCCGGUCGAGCCCAUUUCGAGUCUAUGGAGAGAGUCUACAGAAUAGUCCCCGGACCGGAGCACUACGCUUGCAUGAUUGAUCUCCUCGGCCGAUCGGGUCAGAUCAGGGAAGCGGCAGAGCUGCUAGACCGGAUGGAGACCGAACCGGACGCGACCGUGUGGAAGGCGUUGCUGGCUGCAUGUAGGGUACAUAGGAAUAUAGGACUUGCGGAACGGGCGGCUAUGGUGCUCUUCGAGCUAGAUCCAACGGACGCGGUGCCCUACGUGUUGCUCUCGAAUAUGUACUCCGCGGCCGAGAGAUGGAGUGACGUGGCGAGGAUCCGAUCGUUGAUGAAGUCUCGAGGGGUGAUCAAGGAACCGGGUCGUAGCUGGAUCGAGAUGGGUGGUGUGGUGCACGUGUUCCACGUGGAGGAUCGGGGGCAUGCACGGACGGCUGAGAUUUAUUGGAAGGUUGAGGAGAUGUUGAGAAGGAUCAAGGAGGAGGAGGGGUACGUGGCGGACACGGGAUUCGCCUUGCACGAUGUGGGGGAUGAGGGGAAGGAGAUGGGAUUGGCGUACCAUAGUGAGAAGCUGGCCGUGGCCUUUGGUCUCAUCAGCAUGCCACGUGGCGCGGUGAUCCGGGUGUACAAGAACUUGAGGGUAUGUGGCGAUUGUCACACAGCGAUCAAGAUGGUGUCCAAGGUGUACGGAAGGAGCAUCGUGCUGAGGGACUCCAAUUGCUUUCAUCACGUUAACGAGGGGAUAUGUUCUUGUGGGGAUUACUGGUAGCAUGCUAAUGGAUAUGGGAUUAUUUGUUAAUUAUAAGAUGAAUACUUGGUUCUAAUACUUUGUUAUUUAUAUGAAUUGGGUGCAUGAUUUUUUUUCUUUUUUCAAAAGGCCUUGCAUAUUUCAAGAUGUUAACCUUUAAAAAAUGUGCAGCCAUGUCACGUGCCUAGUUCAUGUUAUGAAUAGAAUCUAGGGAUAUGAAUUUUUCUUUCUGCACUAAAUUAUAUUGUAUUGGCUUCUUGUUCGUGUCGUGGUUUAUUGUUGCUAUCAAUUGUGUGUUAUAUCGGUCAUAGGAGGAGAUCUUUUCUAUUGUUUAUUGCUUAUCGGUCUUUGCUAUUAUCUGGUGCCUAAUCCCAGUGUGGUUUCAAAAAAUUGGAAAGUUAUAAUUCCAUUUAUGCAUUAUUAAAAAAAGAUAAAAAAGAAAGAAGAAUGGUACUGUAGAUUGGGUUGCUUUCUUUGCGGCUCAUCACUCUGAAAUUUUUUUCUGGAUAGACCAUGGGGCUAUGCCUAUGCCUUAGCGCAGCAUUUUAUUUUCUGAUUUUGUUGUCUGUAUCCAUAUCGGUCAAGUAUGAGCCGCUGAUGCAACCCAAAAAAAAAAAAAGAGAAGUGCUAGCUCUAAAAAUUAAUAAUUCAAAAAUUUCUAUAAAUUGGAAUCCUUGGUUUAUUAGAUAUUGGAUGAAGAAAGAGUUAUGAGUUUCUUAUAUCCAUCUUAUGAAAAUUUUUAGAGCUGUUACUUUGAUUAUUCUAAAACUAUGCCAUCUCCUCCACUGCAAACUUGUCUUUCAUCUCAUGUAGGUCCUAGGAGAGUCUUCAAUAGCUAAGGUGAACUUUGAUGGAGCCUUCCCACAAGAGUGUCAUGCUACUGGGUGUAAUUUUGUGAUCGAAGUUGCUCAGGGUUGGAUUCUUGCUGCCAUAUGGUCCCUUAAUUGCGGUUGCAGAGAUUCAGGUCACUUGGGAAGGUGUUAUUGUGGCUGUUCUCCAGUUGCGGAAGGCCAAGAUUUUUUUUCUUCUAAAAUGGAUAUUCCAUACGUUACGAGUAUGUAUACACCAAAUAGAAUCAAUAAACAAUAGGUUUCGAAGUACCCUUGGCAACUCCCUCUUUUCAGCCCACAGGGUGCCUUUUGAGUGGCUAGCCACAUGGAAGACCAAGAUUUAGCUAGGAAGAGUUGUUUAGUGUGAUCUUGUUCGAUGCUUUGGAGAAUUAAGAGGCUCUAGUGGAGAGCAUCCUACUUUCCUUUUUUUUUUUUUAGAUGUUACUUUUGUUUUCAUAAUUGAGAGUUAUAAUGACUAGAUUUUUUUUACGCAAAUAGUUUAAAAAUAGGAGAUUAUAUAAUUUAUAUUCAAUAGCUUAAAACAUUGAUAUAGAAUUUUUAUUAUUUGUGUCCGAAUCUGAGUAUAGCCAUAUAUAUAGAUAUUAUAUGUAUGUAUGUAUGUAUGUAGGCAGAGAAAAAAAAAUUGACUAGCGAAUUGGUUAUUCAAGGAUCAAUCAGUAUGGCUCUAGAAAGAUGACUAGUGUGGAUGCAAGCGCCGUUAAGUAGUUUUAUUUUCUCUUGUAUGAGGAAGACCAGGGAAACCAAAGAAUUUUUUUUUUAAAAAAUAGUGGAUUAUAUUUUUUUUCGUGGUCCAAAUCUAUCCUCGAAUUUUAGGAUACAUUCAACAUUUUGAUCGUGGCAAAAAAAAAAGAAAAAAAAAAAAAUCUGAGGUCAGCUCGAGCCCAAUAGCAUGCGCCAGUUGGACUAAAAUCUAGCAUCGUACGGCAGAAAACAUAGACUCAAUGAUCAAGAUGUUGCCACUUGGACUAACCAUGUUCUCCAACUGCUUCCGAUCACCUGGCGAAUCCAACACCAAUCCAUUCUGUCUCUCUGAACCCUUUUCUACACUCCAAGCCCAUGAGCUCCCACCAUGCAAUCCGAUUCUAAUGCAGUCCAUGAGGCCAUGCCUCUCCUCCCUCUCCCCUUGCCGCUUCCUCUCCUGCUCCCCUUCUCCCUUCUUCUCCCUCUCUAGCCUCAGCCCCCGCCGCUCCCACGCCUUCCGGACCCUCUCCUCCCUCCGGGAGACGAAGAAGGCCACCCUUCGAAAGGCCUCCAACGUCCCCCGGAACCUCAAGUUCGACAACAGGAAGGGGAGGGACGAUGGGUCCGUCUCCGAGGACGGGGAGGGGGCUUGGGGGGAGAGAACGCCGUGAAGGGCACCGUUCUCGCGGGGCUUCUGCUGGUUGGAGUAAUCGGGGGGUUCGGGACGGUGGGAUACGUCUAUAAGGACCAGAUCAAUGCCUUUCUCACCCAGUUCUCCGGUUUCAUUGAAGGUAUUUUUGCUUUCAAGUUGGCUUUUUUUUUUAAGAUAGAUUUGAUUGAAUUUAGUGGUUCUGAGAAAUUUUCUAUCGACAAUUUAGUGCUUUUUUUAUUUUUUUGGCUGUAAUCUUGAUUGAAUUUGGUGGUUUGGCGUCGAAUUUGGGAGAUUUGAAGCCUUGCGAGUGAUUCUGGUGGAAGUUGGUGGCUUUUUGUCAUGGAUUCGUUCUAACAUUUGGGAUUUAGGUGGGUCCAAUUUGAGGGUGGGGUGGCGCAGUGCCUAUAAAUCAAUUUCCAUGGAUGAGAACAUAUAUCUUGCGGUAGUUAUCUAAGAAUCACGUCAAAUAAUGGAGAACUUGAAUAUAUAUAUUCCAUUAGUGAUAAGAAUGUUAUCUCAUUAGCACAUAUAUUGUUAUGAGCCAGGCUCGCUUAGAAGUAAUAAAGAAUGAUGAUUAUGAUCAGAUAAUCAUGAUGAUACCACUCACGAUGCAUCUCUAUACAAUAUUUGAUUUAAUGUUAUUGCAUAAUAUGUUUCUAUCUUGAUGUGAUCUCUAUUCAGCUUUGCAUUGCAGUGAAUAAUAUUGUGCUGGUUCUGAUGCUGGAACAUUUUUAUGCUUUCUGUGAUCAGGUUAUGGUCCUGCUGGAUAUGCUCUGUUUGUACUUGUUUAUGCUGGACUUGAGGUAUCUUAUUAUCAAAAUUUUGUUGAUUAAAGUACCAUUCAUUCAGACUAACUCUGAAAACUUAAGAUUCCAGAGAAACGACAUUAAAUGCCGUGAAGGAAUUGCUUAGACAGGCCUACAAAUCACAUGAUGUACCUAGGUUCACAUUAUAGUUUCUACCUUUUUUACUUUCUGCAUUUUUUGUUUCCAAAAUAAGCUAUCCAUCCCGCGUAACUGACUUUCUGUGGACUAGUCCAGCAUGUUGCAUUGAAAUCUUGAAGUGUCCACUUCAACCUAGCAUUUAGCAAGAGUAUGCUAUGAACACUGCAUUAAUAGUCAUGGUCAGCAUUACUUUAUUUUAUUUCUUUUUUCAUCAACUAACCCCCUGUUGAUAUUCUUGUAAGAGUCGUGGUCAUUUUCCACAAAGACGAGACCAAAUGCCUCUAAGAUUUGCUUGUUUUAAAGUGAUCAUGGAAUCAAAGUUCAUGUCCUUCAUCACAUACCAGACUGAGAUACAUUAAUUGAUAUAAGCUUAUCUAAUAAUGCAUCAGAGCUGGGUAUGAUAUACACAAUUAUCAAUCAUGCCCAUUGUGAUCCCGAAUCAAAUAAAAAAUUAACACAAUAAAAUUGUUGCAUACAAAAUCUCACAACUGAUUUAUUUAAAAAAUUAAUGAUAAUAUCAUAAAACGUGAUAAGUCAAAUGUGGUGAUUUUUAGGUCCAAGGUUCUGUGUCUGAUCAUUUCUAUGGCCAAUAUUGGAUAAUUGCAUUCCUUGACCUGACCUAGAGUCGACCUCGAUGAUUGAAUUAGCUCCCUGCUAAUGGGUAUGGCUUAAAGUGUUUGGACCCAAAGUUAUGGAGCCUAAUUUGCACUGAGUAAUUGUGCUCUCAUGUCAAGGAACCACUUGGAUGCCGUAAAUAUGGUAUCUACACCUGACUCUGACUGUGGUUUCAUGAGGUGGAAUCACAACAUUGAGCUGUUCCUUAUGAGAAACACCAAUUUCCCAUUGCAAUGUCCCUACUUUGAUAAUCUGAGGAUUGGUCAUUCUAAUGUUGUCAGACAUUAUCCUAGCAACCAUAUGACUGCAAUUUCCAACUUGACUGAUGCUUGUGUAUGAAUUUGACAUGUUUAAAUAGUUUAAUCCUGAUGAUAGGCCUGGAGCUGAGCACUUCAGUAUGCUUAUAAUGACAUCCAUGGAUUCAUAAGUGACUGAGCUAAAGAUUGUCAGUUAUGGUUAUUGUUAGUUUUGGCAAAUUGAGGCAUUUUAUAAGCCAUGGAUUAGAACAAGUGGAGCUAAUUAAUACUAGAUUACACCUGUUUUCUUGAAACUUAUGAAGUUAAAAGGUAGAUGAUCGCUUUUUCCUCCAUUGGCUUCAUUUUAGCCAUCUGAGUUCUUGGACAAAUCAAAUUUUGCUUAAGCCCUUUUGCACUGCCAGAGGAUAAAUUGUGUUGCUACCACCUAAAAUUUAAUGGAUUGAUAGAUCUCUGAGGGACGGAUAGAAGAUGAUGGACAUGGAAGUACGGUGGAGGAAGGAUUUUAAUGGAUUAGGUGCAGGUAUAGGGAAGGCUGCAACUGCUAAUUCUUCUUCACAGCAAAUAAGUCUUGUCUGUUGUAUGUAUUAUAAUUGAAAAAUGUUUAAGUUUAUAUCAUUCUGCUGGACUGCAUAGCUAUGCAACUUUCUUUAGGAUUUGUGGAAGGAGAUAAAAGAGAAAGAGGGGGUAUCAUAAAUUUUGCUUUGUCUGUUCCUUAGCAUUCUUUGCAUGCUAGUACUAACUGUGAACUGCUUAUCUUAUUCUAGAUUCUUGCAAUUCCAGCAAUCCCAUUAACUAUGUCGGCGGGACUUUUAUUUGGAAGUGUCACAGGGACCAUCAUUGUUUCAAUCAGUGGGACAGUAGGUUGCUUUCAAAAAUGAUUUUCAUGGUGUCUGAAACGAAAUUAAAAGUGAUUAGCUGAAGAUUUAUAUGAUGUUUUUUUGACUUUGGUAGGUGGCUGCAACUGUAGCCUUUCUUAUUGCUAGAUAUUUUGCCCGAGAACGUAUUCUCAAAUUGGUUGAAGGAAACAAAAAGUUUUUGGCAAUCGAUAAAGCAAUUGGAGAGAAUGGCUUCAGAGUUGUUACACUCCUGCGAUUGAGUCCUUUGCUCCCAUUUUCUCUUGGAAACUAUCUAUACGGUUUGACGUCAGUGAAGUUCGUACCUUAUGUGUUAGGCAGGUCAGUUAAUAAUUUCCAUUCUUGCUAUCAUACUCACUACUGAUCAUUUCUAUGUUUUAUCAGCCCUGGAGGCAAAAGAAACUGUUACAUACUCAAAGUCAAACUCACGCUACAAGUUGGAGAAAAAAGAUGGAGAAUGAAAAAAAACUGGAGAGAAAAUAUGAGUGAACAAAAGAGAUGGUGGCGUGUUUAAGGUUUUUAAGAAAAAAACACCCACAACAACAAUAUAAUAUGUGUUGAUAGAUGUGCAGAACCCACGGUAUUUCCCUUCCUGACCCCAACCCAGCCCCUGCCCUUCUUCCUGUGGUAGUUUGACAUAAAACAGAAAAGAAUAUUGCUAAAUCUAUAGAAAAAUUUAGCCUUCACAGGAAGGAAAAAAGGCCCUGUAUAACUUAUCAUACUUGAGGUUAGCAAGCAUGCAUUGGUUGAUGUUAAUCUAAAGGAGAAUAGCAAUAUUUAAAUAUGUCAUUAGGCAAGUAUAUACUGACCUAGGAUCAAAUUUUCAAGUUUCAUUCUCUUUUGCUGAAGGAUAUACAAGCUGGAAAAUGAAAAUAUAUCAGGCUUCUUACAGAUUUCUGGAAAAUAGAAGGUUCAAAUUUUAACUAAAUAUGGAGAGUAACUGGUGAAGCAUUGUAUCUGAAUGUGCACACACUUUGGAGAAGGUAUAUGUAUGUGCCAUUAGUUUAUUGGUGUGAUUAUGAACAUAUGGAAUCGCUAGACGGUAGCUAUCUUGUGACAGAUUGAUUUGGCCUUGGUUGAAUGUGAUAUACCCAAAUGGAACUUAUAACUUGAUUUUAUGAUGAGGAAUAUUAAAUCAAUCAUCGUAACAUGUUCUAAUGUUAAAAAAUGCUGGUUGUUGCUCCUAAAAUUAAUUUAUGUUAGAUGAUUAUUUCCUUUCGUUAUGCCAUUGUGAAUCACUUUGUUGUUAAACAGCUAGGAAUCAGGAAUUUUGAUUUUUCCCCCAAUACUGAAGAGUUUUUGAUUUCUCUCAAUAGCUCAGUGAUUAAACAUGACUUGGCAUGCAGUUGGUUGGGGAUGCUUCCAGGGACAUGGGCUUAUGUAAGUGCAGGUGCAUUUGGCCGAGCUAUCAUUGUAAGUUGUUUAUAGGCUUUCAUAUAUGUCUGUUAAUUUAACCUACUUUUGUUUUGGUAAUAUAUGAAUUUAGUAUUUUGGUUAAAUUGUAAGUUGCUUUUCUAUUACCUUUUUUUGGUAGAUUUGUCAAGCUCCAUCCUUUGCUAUUAAUUAUAUUUUCCUGUGUCCUUGAUUUAUUUUCUGUUGGUUUUCCUACUACUAUGGUCCUUGCAGAUUGUCAUGUUCUUCGUACGUUCCCAAGGAAGUAGUUGGUUAAGUCUGAAUGUAUACUAAUCAAUCUGACUGGGAAUUAUAUGUGUACAUACCUUGCUUCUGAGAGAAUAUCAGCUCUAAGAAAAAAUAAAUGUUAUGAUCUUCAAUUAUUUAAUUAUCAGUUAAGCUGCAAUGAUACAAAUGUUGCCAUGACGCAAAGGAUAGGCUAUAUCAGUUAUUCUGAGAAGGCAAUCCAGCCAUCUGAGGUCCCAAAACUCAGCUCCAUUUGCCAUCUGUGACCUCUUGAUAGAUGCUAUUUUGCUUGGAUCUUCAUUCCUUUAACUGGUAUGUUAAGAAGAGGGCUUGCUGUCUGACCAUGACUUUGUUUCCCUCAUUGUUGCAGCAAGAAGAGUCAGAAGUGGGCUUACCAAGAGGAAAUGGCCAAUUAGUGACUCUUGGACUAGGCUUGUUAUUUACAGCCAUUGCCGCAGCUUAUGUAACUCGGCUUGCAAAGGUAAUGACUAGGCCCUGUUUUAUUAAUUAAUUGUGUGCAUGUAGUUGCAAAUGUGUAUGAAAGUGAACACUGAAGGUGAAAGUGAAAACUAAUGGCGAAUACGAAUAAUCAUAUAUCUUGUUAUAUGCUGUGCAUGUAUUCUAGCAAGCAAAUGGGAAUAAAGCUUGUAUUACAUGAAACUUCGCUAUAUAACUCAGAGUUUGAGGAUUUAAUUGAAGUGUUUGGGAAUUUAUUUAUGCUUCCUGAAAAAUUACAAAUUAUGUACACUCUUGUAUUUCUCAUAUUUAUUUAUUAACUGUGAUGCAGGAUGCUGUGAAGGAUAUUGAGUAGAAGCACAACUCGUUGCAAGAGAUUACAAGAAAAUGGGUGCCCCCCUGAUACAAAAUGUAAUUUAGAAGGUAUACAACUGCCUUGUACAUUACUGGCAUCUUUUGAUGCAAUAUAAUAUAAGGCAAUUAAUUUUUCCCAGUCAUUGGGAAUUUCUUCUACCUAGUCCUGUGGGUAAUUUCUGCCAACUGCUCAGCUUCUGCUUUCUUGGUGCCAAAGUUGACAGCACCAACAAACACCCUCAUGCCAAGAUGAUCCUGGAUAAUAAGCCCAACUGUUCUGAUGCCAACUGUUGCUAUAAAAUCCCAUAAAAGAUGAUGUUGAAGACAUUCUCCUCCGUGCUUUCUGAUCUUGACCUAAUUCUGAACCAACAUCAUGAGUUACAAAAUGACUAAAUAGAUUUCUUGUCAUCAGUUGAUCCUAAAGUCUAUUUGAUGCCCUCAGUCUUCCUUCUUUGCAACUUAACUUUCCAUUGGAUUUGAAAUUGUGGAGUUUGUACAAAAUUUGGGAAUCAUUUGGGGAUGAAAUUGGAGUACCUAGUAACUCUAACUAUCCUUUUAAACAUCCAAGAUGAGUAUCAUAAUUGAUCAAGAACUUUUUGAAAAAGUAGUACUAGGAAAAAGAGAGUGACCCAUUUAUAACACAUAGGCAUCAGUGUUGGUUGGGUAAUUUGUAUUUAUUCAUCUGAACUGCAUGAUAUAGAGGUUACUGUCUAUUUGAUAUGGAGAUUACUGUCAGAAUUAUCAUGCAUAUCAAACAUCCUAUAUAUAUAUCCUCCUCUUUUUAAGUGUAUUCUCUGUGUGUAUGCCCGUGAUAUAACUUUAAUAUAAAGCAGAAGGAAACAGUGGACCAAGCUUAGGAUAUAAUCUCUGUAUGAAAACACAUAUUGAAUAUUUUUCCAAAUGUCGAUUAAACAUUGGUUUACUUCUGGUAAGCGUUAAUUUAUUUCUACCCCCCAACAUCCAGAAUGAUUCAAAAUCAUAAGCCUUAUCCAGAUAUCAAAAUCAGCAAAAGUUUGUAGGGAGUCCAAUGGACUUGGACAAAAAGUAAAAUGGAAAAUAUCAGUAAGCGUUGAGACCAGGAGAUACCUUUACAUUCCCACCCUUUAAAGUGACCCUUGACCUCAAGAUUAGCAUUCCUUCUGAGUUCCAAUCCACCUCUAGUUUCCAUCUUACUUUUACCUCCCAUGCUAGAAGGAAUUAAUUAUUUCAGAGAUAAGUGCUGUUCCACAAAUAAAUGGCUCAUCAACCCUCCAAAGCUGUAUAAUUGCAUGAUUGAUAAGUUGCCAUUAUGUGCUUGACUUUCAGAUAUCAUCCUUCAUCCCUGGUAUGAAAAAUCUCAGAAGUAAAAUUUCUCUAAUAAAAUAUAAGAAGAUUCUGACAGCCAAAUCUGGCCUAAAACUUUCAUUACCAUAUUUCAAUAAAUAAUAGCCAUUAUUUGCGCAGUCAAAUCUCUUUUUUUCCCCUUCUUUUUCUCUUUUUUGUUGGCAGGAGGGCGGGGGUUUGUUACUUGUUGAAGUCUUUGACUGAAUUUUCAAUAUAAAGUAAUGGCUGUAUAAUGGUCAUUUUGAGCCAUGAGCACCAGAAAGAAUGCAGGAAAUGGUAAAAUUAUGUGCUAUAGAUUACAUAACUAUUCAAAGAAUAUAAUUUAACUUAUAUAUUUGAAUUCAGAACAGUAUUAUCUGAUUUAGAUGAUUGGAUAGAUAAGGAAAUUUACAAGACUAUUCCUGUUAUAUGAAGAUUAUAAUGGCAUAGUAAUGGCUAAAUGAUGGCCACUUUUUAAACAUCCAUCAUCCAUAUGUACCAUCGUGAGGAGCCUCACUAACAACUUUUAGAACAACUUUUAGAAGGACCAUUAUUUUGGUCCAUUAUUUCAUCAACUUUUCCUCCUGGCUAUGAAAACCAUGACACUUCUGAUGCAUAGAAUUCAUACUUACUGAUUUAUUGGGAACUGAAAGGAAAUCGUCAUGCAGCAAAAUUUCGUUAUUGGAUGCAAAGAUGCUAAUUAAAGAAAAUUAACAAUUAUUUAUCCUUGGAUUUCAAAUAGAGGUAGGACAAAGGAGAAGAGUAAGAACAGUGAGAACAAAAUUCUACCUAUAAACUGAGCUGUACAUCCAGAUCCCUCUCUUUGUCCAUAUACAGGUUGCUGUCAUCUAUGCCUAUCAAAAUUUUCAUCCUGAUCUGACCUCAAUCCAACCUUCUGUUGCCUGUACAUCAAUCUCUUUGCUGCACAUUCUUCUUAGAUACUUGGGGAUCCCAGACCGCAUCGAGAAUGGUCUCCAUGUCGAGAUCUCUUCUUCGGUCAGUGACUCCAAUUCAUCCAAAGGCCAGUUCCCUCUGGAACCUGCAUGUAAGACACUUGUUGGCGACCAAGAUGCCUCCUUCAAACACAUUUGAUUCGAACUCCCAGUGAUAAAUGGAUGGCUGAGCAAUUGCUCAGCAUUCCAUCUCUUCUUUGGGUCCUUCUGCAAACAUUUUCUGAGGAAAUCGAGCCCCUCGUCGGAGAAACUGGAUGGGAGCUUUGGAAGAUCAUCACAGCAUGCAAUCUUAUAUACUGCUGCCAUCGGGUUCGAUACCUCGUCGGUCCAUGGAGGUCUCCCAGUGGCCAUCUCAAUCACAGUGCAUCCAAGAGACCAUAUAUCUGACAGGAAUCCGACCCCUUCAUUCUUCAAAAUCUCUGGUGCCAUCCACAAUGGAGUCCCGCCAACUUGCGACGAAUUCUUCGAACAUGCAUCAACCUCUGAAGAUCCUCUCAAUCUUCUAGCACACCCAAAGUCAGCCAACUUGAUGUUCCCAGAUGAACCCAAGAGCAGAUUCUUACAUUUAAUAUCGCAAUGGACGAUAUCAUUUCUAUGAAGGUAUGCAAUCCCCUUGAGAAUUUGUCUGGUGUAGGAUCUAAUCACUGACUCCUCCAAUGCUCCACCAAACUUCUCCACAAUAUCCAACAAGCUCCCCCCAGCCAUGUAUUCCAUGAACAAGUUAAAUUCUUGUUGACUUCCUGCUCUGUCUGCAGCUUCAUGCCCAAGGCUUCGAACAAUGUAUGACGAAUUCAGACUCUCGAGGAUGUCGGCCUCAUUCUUCAGAGAUAUUAACCCCGUUCCAGAUGGUGAGGACUUGACGACGAAGAGCUCGCCAGUCGAUCUGUUCAUGGCCAAGCUGACGAUGCCAAAGGACCCAUUCCCGACUGCUUUUCCUCUAACCCAGUCCUUCGGGCGAAGAUAAUUCAAGGCGGCUCGGGCCAUUUCUCUGAACUUUCCUCGGGGAAAGAAACAGAGGAUGAAGGAAAUCGAGGGUGGAGGUAAUGCCGGGUUGGAUAUCCAACCCAGGAAACAGGAUUGAUGGUCUUUCCAAAUACAUACAGAUGCUGGUGUUUCGAAAAAGAUAGGAAUGAACUGAUUUGUUUCUCUUCUAUGAUAGCGAGAAAAGAGAGACAGAGACUAUAUCAAAGGUAAAACAGGGAGCCCAGAUAUCCACAAGCGAAAAGCAAAGAGAGACUGGAACAAUAUGAACGGAAAAUUCUUGAACAACUGCAACAAUAUGGAAGAGAGAACGUUCUGUAUAUAGGAAAUGGAGCACACCACUUAAAGAAAUGUUGAUGACAAAUGAAUGCUUCUAAUCUUACGAAGUUUCUCUCUCACGAUCAAACUGUGCUCUUGAAAGAGUGAAUUUGGCAUUCUUGGGGAAGAGUUUUGAGGAAGAUGGAGCGGCUUUCUAAUUGCUCAGAAAGCCGCCCACUCUACGAAGAACCUCUUGUGACCAUUGCAGAGCCUUUCUGGGUUCUUCAAAUAGGCAAAGGAGGCGACGGUUGGAGGGUGGAGAGUUAGUUUCCCUCCUUUGAUUGGGUGUGAUUUAAAGUCGCGGGGAAGUUUGCCUCUUUAUUAUUGGUGGGAAGGUCCGCUUGGAGUGAUGGUUCUGAAAGAAAUUAGAAGCUUGGUCCCAGAAAUGGGCCUAGCGAUAUUGAGAUCCAUGCUUGAUGGUAUUGGAGUUUUAAAUUUAUAAACAAAUCUAAAUUUAAAACAAGGUUGGCCCGGUUCGGCCCGUACUGAACUGAUCCGGUAGGGAACUCGAUUCGGCUAUUAAAUACGGUUCCGGCCCCGAACGGGUCAUAACGGAUUUCAAACCCCGAAGAAGGUUCACCGACAGUGGAUACCCAACCUUUAUGAUAGGAGAUUCUAUUAAGAAGGUUCGAUAUAGUAGAAAUAAAGUCGACUGAGUGAUCGUGCCAUAGCACAUUUUUUGGAGUAUAUCUCUUCUCAUUUAUGACGAGUGUUCUUAUCAAUGGUAUUGGAAAUGUUGAGAUAUACUCUUAAUGAGUCUAAGAUAGGAAUUUUGUAGGGUAUUAGGUCAUAAAUAUCCUUGGAGGACUUACUUAUGUGAGAAUUGUCAUAUAGGCCGCGAUUAAAAGUUUAGGCUAACUUUAAUAAAUUUUUUAUGAAAAAUCAAAAUAGUUAGUGUAAGGCCUUUAAAUGCCGCCGAUCGUACAAAGACCAAAUUGAUCCGUACUCUAUGGGUGGUAAGUAGAAGUUUGAGUUAAAGGAUCUAGUUCCAAGUCUAACUCAUCAUGGUUUUCUUAGAUGGAUACUAUUAACACUAAGUGAGAUUCAAGUCCACAGGAUACCUCACCCAUUGCACAAUAUAAGUUGCCAAGAUAUUUUUUUUAAAAAUUUAAUUUUUUUGGAGAUUAUUGGAGUUUUAAAUUUAUUGAAAAAAUAAUUAAAAAAAAUAAACCAGCUUUAUUUUCUAAAUUUUAAAUGGUUUAAAUACUUUAAAAUAACUUUUUUUUUUCUUUUAGAUGCUUCUUUUAGAAGAGUUGCGACUCUUAAAAAAAAAAAUAUUGUUUUCAGAAACAUCACACCAUAUCCCGAGCAGAAUCUAUAAAUAGGAUCUUGGUCUAUUGUAUUGAAUUACUAAAUCCACGUUACUACUUUUCUACUUUCCGAGAUGAGACCGAGAAUUUUUCUCUCUUAUUUGCUUUUCUCUUCUUCCAAGCCUCUUUCAAGUAUUUUUUUAUCCGGACAUCUGAAGGAGUUAGUUGGGUCAAGUCUUUCCAGCGUUAGAGUAGGAUUGGGCUGAGCCGGAUUGUUGUACCUUAAGAAUGAGAUUGCCGCAGAUCUACACGUAGGAACGAAUCACGUUCUUAGGGUAGUGUAUAUCACAUGCUUUAAUUUAUGCCUUUUUUUAAUAUUUUGAUUAUAUUUCAAUAAUUUUUUUUAUAAUAUUUUUAUAAAAUAAAAAUAUAGUAGUUUUUGGCAAAAUAUUUCCAAUAGAUGAUGGGUGUUUGUCGCAACAACCGCAAAGAUGUCUUGUUUUUUUUAAUGUGCUUUUGGUCGCAGAGCAGGGUUGGUUGUGGGUCUCCGGGGCUACAGGUUGGGGCUAGGUUUCCUCCAAGCAGCAGGCCAGCAGGAGAAAAACUCCUGAGUUGCGUAAUUACGUGAAGGCACGUUUCAAUGUGGUUUGUUAAUUGAAAGCAACAACAUGCAUGGUUGCUUACGGACAUGUAUCAUAUUGUUAUCCCGGACAUGUUAAGAACCUUCUUUGAAAAUUGACAAAAUUCCUGAUUCCAAUUGAUCAUAAUUGUAUUAGGAACUCUUCUAGACAAGAAUGCCUUUUUUUUUUUUUGUUUGCUGCUGGUGUGAUAGGAUUGAAUAACUUCAGGAGGAUGUUUGCACUUAUCAAUCUGCUCAUUAACAAACAAACACAAUCAUAUUCGCUUACCCCCUUGCCUAUCAAUGAUACAAAAAGGCUUAUCUUGCGGAGUUUCAGUAGUUCUUCCACUUUUAGGAUAAAUUCGAUAAUUUCCACAAGUACAAAUUCUACUUUUUAUGGGUCCAUUUUUUUUUAUAUAUAUAUAUAUAUAUAGAACCAAGUCAAGAUGAUAUGGAUCAGUCCUUUCUUCUUGUGCCAAAGAUCUUACAUUUCCCAGAGAUCUUGCACCAAAAAAAAAUAGAACACCCCUUCAAGGAGGGAAGAUUUAUAAUUAGCAACUUGGUCAUUGAUGAUACGAAAGACACAGAAAAAAGGACAAAUAGCUAAAAUAACAUAAACGUGGAGAGAAGUCUUCCUUAGAGACAUACAAUACAAUCCAGAUUAGCACCUAAAUUUUUCUCAGAAGAAGCACCAUCUAGAUAAUCAUGGUUAGAGGCGGACAUCAUGGUGGCUGGACUGUAGGCUCUCUGCAGGCAUAAAUUUUGGACUGGUUAAUCCUCUUCUUCCAAGUUGGCCAUGAGGGUUGUAUAUAUCUUCUGAUGUUGUUUUAGUAUAUUAAAAAACCAGAGCAGAUAGAAGCAGUAUUGAUGUGGUGUAGGAUAUAUUGAGUCCAGGCCUCUUGCGUCAACACAAAAUCUCUCCCUACUUCGGCAGGUGUCAUCCUCCUCUAGUAUUCAAUUUUUUCUAAACGACAACUUUAACCUACCUUUCAACGUAACUUAUUCAAUUUCAAGGUUACCAUCUAGUGUUCGUUGUCUUCUUCAUUCAAUACCGUCGGUAGUAUUACAAUAUCCCUAGUCUACAACCACCCGCUGGCUUCACCAUCACCAUGAUUUCAUCAAUUUCUUGGUGGAGUGGUUUGGAGCUGGGGGUCAAUGGAUUCUUGUCUCGACAAGGAAGAAGAUAGAGAGUCAAACAAUGAUAAAAGCAAUAGUUUUUUCCCCUUGUUUCAUCAUCAUUCAAUUUUUAAGAGAAAAUUAAUUGACAUUUUCAACCUCGAGUAGAUUCCAUGCGCCUUCUUUUUCUUUGACGAUCUAUCUUUUGCGCUACCAUGCAUGCAGGCUUUUAUCCCGUACGUUAUAAGGUGCAACCAGAGUAAUAGCAUCCUAGCUUCCUUGCUAAAGUGUGAGAUCAUGCCUGUAACUUCAGCAACCGAGCGUUCUUCCAGACUGUUUGCUGUCAGCAACGAGAUCCUCAAGAGCAAGACCAUGAUGCUUCGCUCCACUCCCUGGUUCCUGCUCCGGCUUCUGAGCUACCAAACCAUGGCGUCAAGCAGCUGCCUCGAGCUCGAGAGGACGGCGCUCCUUGCCUUCAAGGCCGGCCUCAACACCACCCAACGCCGCCUAGCCUCGUGGCAAGGCCUAGACUGCUGCACAUGGAACGGAGUCAGCUGCGACGACGCUGGCCAUGUCGUGGAGCUCGACCUUCGGAACCCCUACGACAACCGAAGCAGGUGGGCGUUGGGUGGUGAGAUCGAUCCAUCCUUGCUUGCUUUAAGCCGUUUGAAACACUUGGAUCUCAGCAUGAAUGGUUUUGGCGGAAUCCCCAUCCCAGAGUUCAUUGGUUCUUUCACAAGACUAGAGUACCUUAACCUCUCUGGAGCUGCUUUCGGUGGACUCGGUACCCCCGGCCUCACCUUGGCAACCUCUCCAGCAUCCGCUAUCUUGAUCUCUGUGCUGCCUUCUCUUAUUACAAGAGCCGUACGUGUUGAUAACCUUCAGUGGCUCACCCGGCCGUCUCUCUUCUCUGAAGCACCUCGACCUGAGAUCGGUGAACCUUUCUACUGCAGCGGAUUGGCUGCAGGCAGCCAAUAUGCUGCCUUCUCUGACAGUGCUGCGUCUGGAUCCUGUGGUCUUUCAUGAGCCAUCCCCACUUAUCUUCCCAUUGUCAACUUUACAGCUCUUACAACACUCGAUCUUCUCGAUAACAACUUCAACUCUACCUUACCCAAUUGGCUGUGGAAUCUCAGCAGCCUUACCUAUCUCGAUCUUUCGAGCAAUGGAUUCCAUGGUCCAAUUUCUGAAUCACUUGGAACCUUGACCUGGCUUCAAGUUCUAGCACUAGGAUACAACGGCCUCGAGGGUGCGCUGCCGAGAUCGAUCAAAAACCUCUGCAGCUUGAAUACUCUACGCUUGUCAAGGAAUGGUCUUGGACCCUUGGUGGAGAAAUUGCAGAAAUAGUGCCAAGAUGCAUGUGGAGCAGCCUCAGAUCCCUGGACUUGUGGGGUAAUAAGCUAAGAGGGAAUUUGACCGGCUGGCUUAAGAAUCUGACCUGUCUCAGUUUUCUUGAUCUCAGCAAAAACUCACUUGAUGGCCCCAUACCUUCAGGGAUUGGGAAGCUCUCUAGCCUGACUUACCUAGAUCUAAGUUAUAACUCCUUUGAAGGUAUUGUAUCUGAAGCUCACUUUGCCAACCUUACUGGAUUAGAAUUACUAAUAUUGUCCUUGAACUCCUUGAUCUUGGAGGUAGACCCAAGCUGGGUCCCUCCUUUUCAACUCCAAAUUGUUGGAUUUCGUUCUUGUCGGUUGGGCCCCAAAUUUCCGGCAUGGCUUCAAUCUCAGAUGAGCAUUAGGACACUUGAUUUGUCCAACACAAGCAUUGCAGAUGCAGUGCCUGACUGGUUUUGGAAUUCAUCUUCUUUGUCAUUAACUGUUCUUGACCUAUCCAAUAAUCAGAUAACUGGAAACUUGCCAUUAACCUUGGAGCUUAUGACAGGCUUGCAUCUUUUGGAGUUGAGCUCAAACCAAUUGGAGGGUCUGGUACAUCUCUACCAAGCAGCCUUCGAAAAUUGGAUCUCUCCAAUAAUUCAUUUUCAGGGCCACUGCCACCAACCUUAGCUGCGUCGAUGUCUUUUGAUGCCUUGUUAAUCCCAAAUAAUCUAAUAAAUGGCAGCAUUCCAUCAUCUGUAUGUGAAUUGACGUUUCUAACUAUUCUUGAUCUAUCGAACAACUUCUUAUCAGGAGAACUCCCUCGAUGCUGGAGUGAGCACUCGGAUCUGUUGGCUUUGGAUGUGGCCAAUAAUAACCUUUCUGGGGAAAUUCCUAGUUCGAUGAGUUCUUUAUCUAGACUUCAAUCCUUGCACCUAAACAAUAACGAUUUCUUUGGAGAACUUCCUUCAUCUUUGCAGGAGUGCAACGGUUUAACUUUCCUUAAUCUUGCUCAAAAUAAAUUUUCCGGGAAUCUACCAGCAUGGAUAGGAGAAGGCUUGCAAGAUCUUGUGGUACUUCAGCUGCGAUCGAAUAUGUUUUCUGGCAACAUCCCUCCACAACUAGCAGAACUUGGCAAGCUCCAGAUCUUGGAUCUUGGACAUAAUAAUCUAUCAGGAUCCAUACCCCCAUCAUUUGGCAAUUUCAGUGCAAUGGCUUCAACAUUGCAGGGAUCCAUAAGUAGCUUUGAGUAUUGGACUUUUGGAAAUUAUGGCCUCUAUAGUUACAAUGAGAGCUUAUACAUAAUUACAAAGGGAGAAGAACAAGAGUAUUCUAAGAUCCUCUAUCUUGUGAAGAGUAUGGAUCUUUCAAGCAAUAGUCUAAGUGGAGAGAUUCAUGAAGAAAUAGGAAACCUUUUGGCAUUGAAUAAUCUAAAUCUGUCCAGAAAUCAUCUGACAGGGAAGAUUCCAGACAGAAUUGGUGGAUUGCAAUCAUUGGAGUCUCUUGACCUUUCAAUGAACGAGCUCUCUGGCACCAUUCCUCAAAGCAUCUCUAACUCGACUUCUUUAAGCCACCUGAAUAUGUCCUACAAUAACCUAUCAGGGAGAAUUCCAACAGGGUAUCAGCUCCAAACCUUGGAAGAUCCAUCCAUUUAUGUCGGCAAUCUCGAUCUCUGCGGGCCUCCAAUUUCAGAGAGUUGCUCCAGCAAUGAAACAAAUCAUGGCAACUAUGAGGAAUAUGAAGAUGAUGAUGAAAUGUUAUGGUUUUAUCUUAGCAUGGUAUUGGGAUUUGUUGUGGGGUUUUGGGUUGUCUUUGGUGUCCUGCUGCUCAAGAGCUCAUGGAGGAUUGCUUACUUCCGGAUGACCGACAACUGGUUCGAUAGACUCUAUGUCCCAGUGGCUAUAACAAUGGCUAGGUUGAAGAAAAAGAACAUGGAGGAAAACCAAGCUCUUGGAGUUGGAAUCAGGAGAGGUGGAAGUUGAGUGUUUAGUAGUAAUUGACACUUCUAUUGUGUACACUUACAUUUCUAUAAAAUUUCUCCAGACUGCCAAUGCUGUAAAACCAUAUCAAGCCCCUUAUCAUUAAUAGUUACGCUGUAAAACCAUUUCACUAUGUAUGCGCAUAUAACUGGAUCAUACAUGGUCUAGCUUCAUCCUUUGGGUGACUGAGCUAAAAAGCCAACAUGGUGGGCAAAGAUUGCAAGUAGUUUAGUAUGCAGGAAGGAGGCUGCAGGCUACCUGAAUCUGUUAGGUGGGCAUCAAUUGCUUUUCCUUCGCUAUUGUUAAUUGAUGUGAGUAGCUUGAGCUUGUUCUGAAAGUGCAACUUGAUGUAACAAAACAAACUCUAAGUUGCUUAAAGGGACAGAGGGAAGACAAGCAUCUAAAGUUCAUAUCAGAUUAUGAAACCAUAAAUCGGAAACUCCUAUAUAUGAUGAAGAAGCAUGGGAGGAGAGGGAGAUGUCAUGGAUAUAUUACCAAGACCCUUGAAUAGAAAUCAUACAUUCAAAGUUUAUUUUAAGCUGAAUUGGAAAUGUUCCUGAUUAAUUAGUCUAACUUGGCAUACGAUAAGGCUUAAAAUUAAUGGGUUUGAAUGUCUAUAUCCACAUCAGAAAAAAAAACAAAUUUAAUAUUAAAUGACUUAUAUAAGCCAUUAGAAUUAAACUUAUAAAUUGGCAUAUGGGUGAUGUAUGUAUAUUUGUUUCAAAUUAAAAGAGUAACAUGGACAUUGUGGCAUUAUCAUUUUCAAGGCAAAAUGUGGUAAUCAUCAAGCAUUUGCUUUACCAACAAGGCUAAGGUUGAUGUGCUUGUAAAAUUAGUGCUUGCUUCAAACAUUAAGUUUUUUAAUCGUUGGUACAAAAAAAGAGAACUAGGACAUUAUAAUGGAAUCUAGAAAAAUAGAAAAGAAAGAAGAAAAGAUCCCAAUAAUAAAUAAAAAAAACAAAAAGAGGCGAACCAAUGCAAAUAUACUAAGAUUUAAGAUGGUUUGCCUAAUAAAAUGAGUACAUUAGAGAAAGAAUCCAACAUGUGCAAGAGAAAAUUGUCUAGAGAAACUCCAAAGAAAACCUAGUACAAGAGGACAACAAACUUCAAAUUUGUCACACAAAAAAGAUAUAUUUAUAGGAGAAAGUAUGUGCUUUUUCCUGGCCAAACUUCUCCUUCCCUUGUGUAAAAUGGUGGGCUUAUUUUCUUUGUUUGGUAUUGAUUCUAAGUCGCUCUCAUGUUUAAUAUAAGAUACAACAAUCAGAAGAUAAAUAUCAAUCAAAUAGAAGCCAGUGCAAGGGUGGAUAGUGAUGAAUGAUUCGUACCAGGAUAUUACCUGCAAGUUUGUGAUUCCAUCGUCAUUUUGUUUUAAGCCAUUUGAUUCUGUAAUUAUGCAAAACAUGAUUUCCCACCAUUAACACUACAAUCCAAGAAGUUGCUUCACUGGUGAGUAAUGAUGGAAUUUUGAUAUAUGUUGGAUUUGAUCUUUGACUUCACCUCAGCUUGUUUUCUGGCAUAUUCACCGCUAAAUGUGGCAGUAAGUAUUAUUCCAGUUUAAACUUUUACUACAAGCAUAUCAAGAUCUUGCCCAGUGAUAUAAGGUGCAAACAAAAUUUCAAUAAGUUACGUUGAUAAAUGAUCUAUUCAUUUUUAGCAUACUUUUGUUAUAAUGCAUUUUAUAAGGAAUUCAUUAAACACUCUCUUCAUUUGUAUGUCAUAAUCAAUGAAAUAAAGAUUAAAUAAAUAAAAUAAUUAGAAGAAAAUAUUGAAGUGUAAAGCGUAUUUUGAGUUUAAUUUGAUCCUAUUAUACAACAGAAUAUCGGAUGUCAUGUUUGCAUUGAAGCCUUUUUUGUCCUAAUGCAAAUGAAAUGAUAUUUUAACACGAAAAGUGCGUGAAAACUUUUAUUUUGCACAUCAUAUAUAUAUGAUCAUGGUGGUGGUGUUCGAAUGGAUUAAAAAAUUAAAGGUGUCUCGCAUGCUAUUCAUUCCAACUGCUUAUGCUUUUUAAAGUAAGUUACGCAACUUGUUGCCUCUUUAUUAUCUCACUACAUUCUUUAUAUAUAAUGCGAAUUCCUUAGGCAGGGGCUGACAUUUAUCUUUGCAGCUCCAUCUUGAUCCUUGGAAUGCCUUUUGGAAGUUACAAGCAUCGGCUCCAUUUGUUUUCCCCUGUGGCCAAGAUUCUCCUUUCUUUAAAUUUUUUGAAGUAUAAAUUAUUUGAUGUUACCUGCCAUCGAGAUUUCCUCAAGAUUUCAUCAUCAUUUCUAUUAUUUUCAUCGUGUACUGUGGUUAAUAUGUCCAUGUUUUGUUGUUAAGUGAUCCUCUUCAAUCUGUGCCCUGACUCAAUCAGCAAAUUUCUGCAGCCACAAUACCGAAUGAAGCAGUUAUAUGAGGGGGUUGGCUCGAGACAUAAUUCUAACGAAGGGGGUUUUACCCUAAAGUUUUAUUAUGCAUUUUCAUCUUGGUUAUUGAUUUGGGUAGAUUAUGAAGAACUUGGACCCAAUUACAGGCCCUAUUUCUUUUGUUUUCUCUUCUUGCGGCUGCCUCCACCGCCAGUGUUCACCGCCGAGGCUCUCGGCCUCUCUCUUGCAUCGGCAGGUGGCGAGCACGCUGAAAGUCGGACUCCGGCGAGCUCAAAAAAACAUCUAUUCGGCCCUCUUUUCCUCCAUUGCACCGGUCGCUGCUGCCGAUUGCCAGUUGCAAGGCGGCUGUGCCGCCAUAGCCAGCACUAUUGCUGGCUGCAGCCGCUACCGAGCCGUGAGGCCUUCUUUGCUCCUGAGGACAGAUAUGGGCCUUCUUUUCAUGAUCUUUGGGCACCACCGGUGGGACUCGUUGCAGCAUAAGCUGCCCGAUCAUUGGAGAAUCGGCGCCAAGGAAGGUGAGUUCUUCCCCGCUGUCAUGGUGAUCCAUGUCAUCUGUGUCCUGUUUGCUUCUGGUUUUUCAGCUUAGACUUUAUUUAAGUUAGUGUCCUAUAGAUCUUUUUCUUUUUUUAGGGAACAAAAAUAUGCAUUGGGUUGUUGGUGAGGUAUUUUAAUAUGACCAUGUUUUAUUGCUAAAGUGAUCCUCUUCAAUGAGUGCCCUCGAGUGACGCGAGGCAUCGACUCACCCCGCCGGGAAGAAAAGUGCAGGAAGGGUUAACAAAGAUGAGCAUAAAGAGGUCAAGUCUGCUAACAGUAGAUAAAGGAUUCUCUCGAAAGUAGUGUGAGGCCAUGCAGGAGUGUGAUGGUGAUGGUGAUUCCCUUCUCUCUUGCUGUUGUUGAGCUUCAAUCUGAUUGAAAGCCAACAGCCAAAGAUUUCAAAAACCUCAGAAUCACAACAGCCAAACAAGGGCAUGCAAACAUCUUCAGCAGCAAGGGUUUUAUUUGCACAGGCCACAGAAAAGGUGAACAUGAUUUCUGUAGGGAAUCAGUAAAUCACGGUGCCAACUUGUGGAGCAAAUUUUGCAGGUUCUCUUUGCUUAUGUCUGAUUUUAUUACUCCUAACAUGUAGAAUAAAGGUACGAAAUAGAAAUAAAAAAAAGACACGAAAUGUUUUAUCCACGAAUAUCAUAUAUGAUGGAAUGCAUACAACUGCAUAUUUGAAUGUGUUAGGGUUUAGAGAUGUAUAUGCAUAAAGAAUGGUUGAUUGCAUGUUUGUUAUAGUCCUACAAUGACUAAUAAAAAAAAGAUGCCGCAAAGGUUUACUGGUCUAAACAGGCCCUCCUCUCAAGUGCUUAAGAUUUUAGAGUCCAUUAUGUAUAUUAACUUUUGCUGGUGUCACGUGAUAAGGAUGUCACGAGAUUAGAUAGGGGAGAUUAUCAUAAUCCCACAUUGACUAAUAAAAAAAUGCUACUUAAGUUUAUUAUCCUGACAAGAUUAGUCCUCCUAAGCUUUUGGACUGACUCUGACAAAGGAGAUUUUACUUGCAUCUUUACUUGCAUGUUAAAAAAUAGGUUUAUAUACAAACUUACACAGGUAUCAGCAAUUGAUUCUGACACACAGACAAGCUUCCUAGGGACUCCGUAUGCUUCCACGUAAUGUGAUUCUCCCUACAUAAUGUAAGAAAGUCAUUAGCUUCUGUUGCGAAAAGCAUGGAAUAAAUACUAGCAUGUGCCUGCAUCACCAAGCAUGAAUCAAGGCAGCAUUCCAUUUAUUCUGGUUUCAUGGUAUAACAUUAAACAAAUACCUCUCGUUUCCAUAAAACUCUAUUGGUAAGCUACACACUAGAAGAAACAUUCAAGUCAUUAAUCUUAAUUAUUAUGUACAUAUAAAAGUGCUCAUAAAAUGUAUCAAUAUAAUUUGGAACCUCUAACUGUACUCUUGUCAUUUCAAAUAUUCUCUUUAGAGAUUCCAUAUUAGAAAGAAAAAAAAUGCAUACAUAAAAUGUAUAAAAGAAAUUACAUAACCAAAAAAAGAAAGAAAGGCAACUAUGUUUGUAAGCUUCUUUCUUGCAAUCUAGCACCCCUAAUACUGCAACGAAGACCAGUCUGAUGGUUCGCUACUGCAUGUACCAAACAAUACCCUUCCCCUUUCAAAAAGGGAAAAAAAGCAAAGAAAAUAUUCCCAAAAGGGCAUUGCAAGCCCGACUUUACUGCAAUAAGAGUUGGCUUAACUGCCAAGUAUACAGGUUUCCUAAAGUAUCCGAAGCUUCAACCCAAAAAUACACAAGUGAACUUUACGGUAUGAAAUAUGUGCAUGUACUGAAUGCUAUUUUACGACCAAGUUGACCAGCCCAAACAUUCGCUUGAAAAGUUGCACUUCAGUCAUGGACGGAAGAUUGGGAAAAUGCCAUAAUACUUGACUAGAUGCGACUAGAAACUUGAACUUAAUAUUUGUUGGUCGCCUAAAAUAUUCGAAUUUUGAAGUUUCAUCACCUUUCACUAAAAAGUCAAUUGAAUAGACACUACUGAAAGGUGUGUUUAGUACCUACACUUCUAACAGAUGUAAGCAACAUAUUUUAUUUUUGGAGUGACAGACCAGACCAUUUCAGGAUCUGACAACUAAGAAUUCAAAGAAAUGUCAGCAUUAACAAUUGAAAUGUCCAGAUAACAUUGCUAUGAGCUGAAAGCCAAGAUGGUUGGCCAAUCCCUAUGACAACCUAUCCAGAUACAUUGCAGUGGAAUAUGCAUCAAUACUAUAUCCUUGUCAUUCUUAUAUUUCUCCUAGUGGAUUAGCAAGUAUCAACCUCAUGAUGUAUUCCAUAUGGGCUAGAAUGCUGACAGUACCACUACAGAAAAAGUUGGCUAUCCUAGACAUUUACAUGCCGACGCUAGGUAGAAGCGUCGGUAAUUUUGGCUCCAACGCCAAAAUUUGCCGACGCUUUAAAAUAGCGUCGGUGGUGAUGAUACAAUGAGAAGGUUAGAUAGUGUUGUCGGCCAAAUGGAAUGAUUAGACGAUGCUUAAAAGCAUCGUCGAAGUCCAAAUAAAUCCCCGCCCCACAACGCUUUCUCUAAAGCGUUAACGGAGGCCAUUUUGCCCCCGGCUCUUGCGGCUUCAACGACCCGGCCACCGCUGACGUCCUCCAGCCGGACGACCCUGAUUCCGUCCAAUCGCUCGACCUCCACCUCCGCCCCACCGCUCCGGCUACUUCUAUGCCCUCCUCUCCGACCGAUGGCACCACCCCGACCCCGGUGGAGACGGGAUCCGGCAGCUUUUUCUCAAGAUCUCCCCCUUCGACGACCUCCGCUGCCCCCCAUUCAACGCCUACGUCGCCGUUCUCCCCCUCCUUCACACCCUCGACUUCGCCGGCGUGAUUCGCCCUGAAAAUGAUUCCGAUGGCGUUGGAGCUCCUCUUCGAUGACUAUGUUCGGUCCCUUGAGGCUGUGCCGUGGACCGAGGAGGAGGGGGUCCUCAGCGUGAUCCCCUUCCUUCGUGAAGAAGAAUCCCGACAUCUCCUUGCUAGGGUUUCUCCGAAAGCGGCCGCCGGAGAUGGGAAUAGCAUGUCAACUUCUUCGAGGAGAUGUUCUCCCAUCAACUUCAGAUCUCGUGAGCCUUAAACUCUCCUCCCAAUCUUUGUUUCAUUUUGCCCCAUUUCGAAGAUAUCUUAUGUUUGAGUGGAAAUUUCUAUGAUGGCGGCGACGAUGCACGCCAAGAUCAAUCAGAGGAAGCACGACAAGCUAGAUAUAAUCAAAAUCUGGUGAACUUCUCCUCCUUAUCGGCUGCUCCUCAUCAAAAUCUACGAUGGCCCCUGGCCCCCUCCCCCGCCUUUUCCUCUUCUUCUUCCUCACCUCCGGACGAUCAGGAACCGCCCAGGAAGCCAUCCGCAAGGCCUAUAGGGUUUGGGUUUUUAAAUAUUUUUUUUUAAAAAAAUAAUUAUGCCGAUGCUUUUAAGCGUCAGCCUAUUUUUGGUUUUCGCCGACGCUAAUAAGCGUCCGCGGACUCCAAACUAGGCCGACGCUUAAAAGCGUCGACAUAACUUCAAAAAAACUUUCCACCGCCACCUACGCGACGCUCUUGAAAGCGUCGGCGCCAAAAUUACCGACACUUAUAAGCAUUGGUCCAGGCUCUAAAAAGCGUCGGGAUAGACUAUUUUUUUGUACUAUACAAAAGCCAACCUUACAAACAUAGGACAAUACAACAGAACAGUAUAGAGGCAACCUUAUAAACAAAUAUGAAUAUAAAAUUAUACAAAGCAAAGGAUUACCCUAUUGUGGCAGCAGAAGCCUUCAAAACCAUUAUGUGGCAUUCAUGAUCUUUUUUGCUUUCCUAGAAAACUCCCUAAUCAGUAAAUUAUCAGAGAAUGUCAACGGAGUAUCUUCAUCCAUAGCAUCCCUGUCAUAAAUUAGUUUUGUGGCCCUUCUUUGAGUCCUGGAUCGCCAUCCACUACUUGAUUGUUCAGUUGCUGGGGGCUCUUCAGGCAUAUCACGAUAGAGGUGUUUGAGAAUGAAGAGAGCAGUGUCGUGAUCACGCCAAUAAUUACUGUUGGAUACACAUCCAAGCAAAGUCAUUAAAUGAAAAAGGACCUGCCAAAUAUUUUGAUAUAAAAAGCAUAAAAAUAAGUAAUAAUUUGUUCAGUUGAUUCUUACGUAUGUGAUCCCAAAGCUGAUAAGUAGGGAUGCCGAAAUGUUUUGUCCUGCAUGGUUAACCAAAAAAAAUCAUAAACAAAUAAUACGAACACCUGCAGAGCCAGCAAAAAGAUAGGGUAAAGAAAAUUCCAUUUAACAGUAUUUUGGCUAGGUGACUAACAUCAUACACUAAGAGGACAUAUAGAAAACAAUAGUACAAGACAAAUAAACAUCCCCUAUACAUGAAUUUGACAAAGGCAUAAUCAUGACAAGAAAAUGGUUCAGUUUUUCCAAUUUUGCCACAACAUAAUGAAAUAAAUAUAUAAUGAUUUUGGUUUAAAGCAAAACUUGCAAGUCACAUAAUGUUUAUCCUUUUCUUUUAAGUUUAGCCAAUAUACACUAUUAUCUUGAAUUGAGAUGCAAUCAUGUGUGUAGGUUUUGAACCCAUUCCAUCAAUGAAAAUACAUGAAGAGCAUGAAAAUUGAGAAUUCACACUGUUAAUCAUGAUUUACAACCUCUAGAAAAAUCAAAUUUCAAGUGUUCUACUUGGUUUAUACCUAUGCAUUAAGUGGGGAAAAAAAUGUAAAAGCACAAUAGGCCAUAUAUACUCAAUCCACAUUGUGCGAUCUUAAGUUACCGUCUUGUAUUCAUGAUAUUAAAUAGUGCUGGAACCGUGGUAUGCCAAAUCAACUCGGGCCACUUGGUUUAGGCGUACAGACCCGAACCACCUGGUUCAAAGCAUGUUGAUUCGAACUAGUACGGAAUUGCGUGCCUAUUCAAGGCGUUAAGUGGGAAAAACUGGUCUGAACCAAACCAAAUAGAACCGUUUAGUUUGGAGAAGGGUAGUUCAGGCCGCUCCAAUAAGAGAGAAGGCUACUACAUGACCUUCUCCUCUUUUUUCUUCAAAGAGUGGGCUGUGUGAGGAAAAAAUCAGGUAAGAGCGAAGAUUUGCUGAUUUUUUCUGAUUUUGAGCAUAAAUCCAAGUCAAAUUAGGUAAAUCCCCUCCCUCCUAUUCAUUCUUCUUUUUUUUUUUUUCAUUUUUGUGCCAAAAUAGGUAACAUCAAUAAAAAAUGCCAAAAUUUUGUAAUUUUUCUUUGAUUUUGUAAUUUUUAGAUUACAAAUAUAUUUUUGAUCUAAAAAUAUCAUAAUAAAUAAAACAAUAGUCAAAAAUUGUAAGAAGAUGGUAGCAUGUUUAGAUGUAUGCAUGCUACUUGCUACCUUAUUUCAAUGGCAAUUUAUUUAAAAUUGCGCACGAUGAUAGCUACACGAAUCUAAAUUCAAACAAAUUACAAAAAUUAGUGAUUAAGGCAUAUCCAUAGGCUGAAAAAUAUAUAUAGUAUUUCUUGUAGGCAUGAUAUGCUGUACUGGUCGGUACCAGGCAUACCAUACCAGUAUCCGUGGGUACCGAUAUGCCUGACGUACCGCGUACCGUACCGUACCGACACUCGGUACGCCUAUCUAGUGCGGCAUUGGUACGAGAUCCAGUACCGGUACGGCAAACCUUACUUGUAGAGUUCUACAUUAAUCUGAAUUAAUAUCAUUUUUUAGAUAUUUUAUAAUUAAAUAAUAAUUUAUUGUUUUAAAAUUAAUUAAUAUAUUCAAAAAUUAUAAAAUAUAAAAAUUAGAAUUUUGUAUAGAUAAUGUUGAUGUAUUUUCUGAAGUAAUUCAACCAUUUUUUGCACUACAAUAUAAAUUAUCUAAUUUUAAGUAUUUAAUUACUUAAAUAAUUAUUAAUCAACAGAAAACCGUGAAAAAUAUUGUAAUGUAUAUCAGUAAUUGAGGCAUAGUUCUUGGACAACAUGCAUAGUAGUUAUAUAAAGCAAUAAAUUAUUACAUAUUGAGUGAAAUUAAAUUAUAAAGUUACUAAUUUAUCUAAAAAUAUAUAAAAUUUUGUUUACUUUUUAAAAAUCAUAAUUUAUGGCGAUGAAUGAGAUUGUUUAUGAUGUAUAUUAAUUAAAAUUACAGAAAUGGAUUUAAAAAAGGAGAAAGGUAAGGAUAUUGACAUAGGUUUGGAUCAUGUUAAAUUUAUUUUGGACUAGCAACAUUAGAGGUGCAAGUGGUACGAUGCACGGUGGAGGAAGAUGGAGUGAUGAGAUUGAAGCAACAACUAUCUAGUGAUUAUCUUGAGAUGGCUACAUGUAAGAAACAACUACAAGAAGCACUUUCAUGAUAUCAGGGAGAGCAAGAAAAAAGUGUAGAAAAACAAGCAAAGAUCGAUCUUCGUUGAGUAGCUGAACCACUAUAUUACUUCAAGGAUCAACAAGACUAUAACGCAUCAGUUCUUAAUGACAUGGAGGAUGGUAGAUUCAGGCUGCCAUGUGGGACAAUCUGAAUGAUUAGUGGCAAAAGAAGAAGAUUGCCAGGUACAGGGCACAAUUUAGAUCCUCAUUAUACAAGGGCGUUCUGGUUUCGGUUCUGCACAAAUCUAGCCUACAGAUGAAGCCGGUCAAGUUGUUGGUAAAGAUGGCAGUUGGAUAGCAUAUAGGUUUGGGACCUCACCGACAAGAAAGAAAAGAAGGCCAGAGAUAUACCAGCAAGGAACACAUCCUGUGACUUAGAUCCACGUGCCUUUCCAAACAAAGACUCAAAAACAGUAGAGGCUUGAAUCUAUACUCCUGAAGAUAGAAACAGGACAUGUGGAGACCUAUUGCUUCAUGAUUCCACUGCAACCAUGUCCCUGCAGAUUCUGCAGCAAUACCUAUUACCAUUCUACUAUCAACACUAUCCAGAAAGCCAGUCAAGGUGUGGAUCCUCCAAGGCCAAAGAACACCUAUGGCGAGUUGCUAAUCAUAAGCUAGAUAGAUGAAUAGCCUCAUAAAAGAGCAAGUGGGACAUUUAUGAUGCAGCAUUGAUAGCUGAUAAAAGGCCUAACAUGCAAAGCAUCAUCACUUUUUGGACAUAUUGUGAUAACAAGACACUUCCAUAGGAGGCCUAGAAACGUGCAUCGAUACUCAGAAAAUUCUGAACUUAAUGGAGCAAGUAAUCGAUCAGAUAGAGAAGCAUAUUAUGCAGGAGUACAAUACAAAGCUGUUGGAGAUAUUUUGAUGAUCAGGUGUUCAUAUAUUUUCUAGACCUUAUAUGCUGCCCACUGCAUAGAACUGAUAUUGAUGGACAUCGAUAGGAUCCAGUAGGUGACGCCAGUGGUAGAGAUAACUCAAACCAUCACUAAAUUUGGAAAUAAUCACAUGAAUACUGGAUUUGAUGAAAAAGCACACCGAGGGGGGAUACUUAGGCUUGUAGUCACCCACCUCGCCAUGCACUAAAUUGCACUUGAUAGUCUUAUUGAGAAGAAGGCAAUCCGUGUCAGAUAUUCAUGAGUGGCAAGAGAGUACAUAUACAUGUAGUGGCAAGGAAAAGAGUCAUGUGAAGGGGGUUGGUAACAAGCCUGCAAUUUUAGAAGUGGGCCGAGAAAGUAGUCAAGGCAAUUGCACCCGUACAUCAAGUCCUCAAUCUAUGGAUCCCCAAAUGGGCUUGUAUCAUACGAUGAUUUCUGCCAAAGGUACAAUCAGGCGAAUCCGAAAUAUACUAACGAGUCUAUUAAUAUGAUUGAGGAGAGAUCGGAUUACCAAAUAGGCAGGAAGUUGCCUCUAGUAGGUAAUCGAAGUGGAAGCCUUAAUGCUUGUUUAUUCUUAUAAAUUAAAUGUGUUCAUUCUACAAAAAAAUUUAUGUUUAUUCUUAUAAAAUAAAUUUGUCCAAUUAUGUGUUUUCUAAUCAAAUCAAUUACAUAUCUUAGCAGCCUACUAACUCAAGUAAAAGUUCCAAUAUAGUGUCCAGUAAUGGACAUGGAUGAGGAGCUAUUGAGUGCCCUACACAAUGACAUGAUGGAGCUUGAUGCUCAUUGCUGCCAGAUAUUUGGAGGAGAUAAAGUCAAUUUUAAUAGAAAUUAAAAACAUUACUUUGUCAAUUCAAGCGUGUAUGUAAUGCCAUACAUGCAUUUCAUAGAUUAAAGCUUUUAGAGAGGGAUUCCACAGCUUUGGUGAAAGGCAAUUUAAUAAGCAAAGACAAUACAAGUUCUGAGUAUUUUUUUGACACCAACAUUAUCGGGUACAGUGAUUGAUGAUAAACACUAUCUAAUAUCUAAUUUACUUGACUGCAUUGGUUUGAGUUGUCAUCCAUAAACCUUAGAAGAUUAGUAGUUCAGAUCAUCUCACAGAUGGUGUCUCCUCCAAUGGCUAUGAGCACAACUAGUCAACUUUCUCCUUAAUACAUAGCAAAUAGAUGACCCGCCUAACAUAGAAGAGAUUGAAUAACUUGAUAUAUGGCUUAGAUUGAAGUGCAUUUACGAGUUGGAGUUGAAGCAUGACGGUCCGCUUCAUAAAGACCAUGCAUAUAAUAAUGAAGAUCCGAUGAUUUGUUGGCUUAAGAUGCAGAAGCAGCCGCCAUAGGUUGACUUGAGCUAGGAUCGCCUCCUUGCCCAACUAGUGUAUAUCAAAAAAGACUAGGAUGAAUGCAAAGCAAUGGGUUGCAUAACACAUGCCACACUCACAACCAGCCAACAACCAGUAACAGGAGCAACGAUGGAGGCCGGGGGGAGAUGAUCAAGAUCGAAAGGCCUUGAGAUAUCUACUAGAUAGGAGAUGCACCAUGGCACCCUUUCCAGUCGGGAAGGAAGGGCCACUCAGAGUGGUAGGCCUAGUCAAGCCACCCAACAUAGCCACACAUGCAAGGACAGCCAGUGAAAACCAGACCAACAAGAAAGAAAAAGAAAAGAAAGCUAUAGAUUCAUUGAAGAGAGUUGAUGUGGAGACCAUUUGUUCGGAUUCUGAGACCAUUGAGCUCUUUGAGGACUGGCUGUCCAGAUCAUCACACUAUACAAGCAAUGAUGCUGAUGAUAGUUCGAGCAAUGAUACAUUUAUUGGCCAGAAAGGUAGUAGUAGACAUGAUGGGGGUGCAUAUGACUCAGCCGCUUGGUUUUUCAUUGGAGAGUCGCAUCCUAGUCAUACCAUACAAAAUACAGACCACCAUGUGCAAUGUAAAGCCUACAAGGAUGAGAUAGCAUAUAGGAGACAGACCCUCGAGAUGAUUCAGAACAACACAUUGCUACAAUUGAUGAUAUAGCAUGCGUCCCUAGAUAUCUGGAUCUUCAUCAUAAAUUGGAUCCCAUUCUGCAAAAUUAGGGUACGACCCAUAUGAAUAUUUUUUGUCUGAAGCAUCAAGUUUGAGUGGCUAAUAAACCCCACAGACUCAACCAAAUUAAGGGUUAGAUUUUGCAAUCAUAACCUUCCCUCAAAUGGGAGUGAUAUGCACAACAUAGUAUCAGAAAGGAUCAGUAUCAUGGUGGCUAUCUAGGAUGCUCAGAUUAUCUGAUGCAAGGGUGGGCAAUAUUUGGGUUGGAGUUACGUCCAAGGCCCCAACUAUGAAAAAGAUUUCAAUACCUACGAGCGACAGACACUCCACUAGGAACUAGAUGUCAGUAUGUAUUUUGUAAUGCAAAUCAAUUUGAUACAUGCAUUCUCAACCUAAAAAAAUAUAUAUUGUUUAUGUUUAAUUAUUAUAAUUGAUCCAUCAAGCAAUCAACAGUCUCUUGGGACCAAUAUGAAAUAAAAUAAUAUUAAGAUACCCUUAAGACCAUAAUUAAAGAUCUAUAAGUCCUUAAAAUAAUCUUCAUAACUAGAAAAAUCGAAAAAAUAAAAAAGGCCAAAAUAGUGAACCGAUACACAUCUACUUCUAAUACGGUUUCGUUUGGUACCAUACCAUAUCAGUACCUAACCAGCAUGGUCUUCGGCACCAAGAUUGCAUAUCUUGGUUGACAGAUUCCGUGUAUAUAGAUAUAGAAAGAGGGAAGGCAUCCACAAAGAAAUCAUAAAUAGUACUGAACAUACUGGCUUUUCUGGUGCCCUGCUUAUCAAAAAAUCACCAGCAAAUUCCCAACUUCCAUUUUUGCCUCCUAAACAUAUUUAUCAAUAGAAGUUAAGGCACCUGUUAUUGCUUCUAAAUCUUAACUGUUUCUUUCAAUUAGAAUAAGCUUGAUGAAAUCUUUUACCAACCACAGAUAUGCUGCUUUAGUUGGUCAGUUGUCAUAUCAUCAUGAUUUAAAACACAAAUAGGAAGGCAAUUCUAACAACUUGGUGAGUCCCACCUAAGGCAUCUUAAAUCAACUUACAAGGAUCAAGUUACAUAUUAGUAUUUUAAUUAUAAGAACUGAAGUAACAAAAACAAAACAUCAAAAAGUUUACUUAACAAGAAUGUUUACCUUAUCUAGUUUCUACCAGGAUACAUGAAUACUACGAAGCAGGUUAACGGGAACAAUAAUCUAUUUGGUAAUUACGCAGAUCAAAGGUACUCAAUCCUCACAGACACAUGAUAGAUUCAAUUAUCAGCACAACUAUACUAUUACCUAAUCCAAAUAUCCUAAUGCAGAAGGUCAAGUAUAGAGAACAGAAAAAUAUAUGGUAGUGUAGAAACUAAUUCAGUCACCUGGAGAACAUGGUCAAUUCGACCAUCUUCACUGCCUGUCAGUCUUUCAAUCAUAAUGGAGCCAUACGAUCUUUCUUUUUCUUUGACUUCUUCCGUUGCUUCUGUAUUGUAUAGUUAAUCACCACAAAAAUGCUUAUUAUUAAAACACUAAUGACACCCUUAAUAAAAAGAUAAGAGAACAUAAAUGAUUUUGGAACUAACCGUCCAUGUUAUCCUUGUCUCGUGAGUGAAAAACAUUAACCAUUUUGACCUAUUGAAACAGCAUCAGAGCUUAUAAGAUAGGGAUUUCAUAUAGAUUGGAAAUCUACAAAAAGUUGAUCUGCAAGUGAUUUUUCAAAACUCAUAAUGCUCUACAUAUGCAUUUCAAUGCUGGAUUCACUCACAUGAACCCAACAAAGUUUUGAAGCUGAGACAUAUCUUUUAUCUAUAUAUUUCCCAUCAAACAUGGAAGUCCUACUUUCUAAUUACUUCUGGCACUCAGCUCAUAUGUUGGAACUAUCAACUAUAAGAAUUUGUAUCACUUUCCAGCGAUCUAUAAAAUUAACAGCAUAAACAUAAUAUGCUAUGGCUUGAGAACAGGGAUUUCCAUAAAAAAAACUUAGCUCAUUGAUCUGAAUGAACAGAGCAUACACGAAGAUAUCUAAUGUAGAAGGAAAUAAUGACAGAUUUUUUGAGACUAACAGAUGAAGCCUACCCUCAAAGAGUUUAAGUGACUUGCUAUGGCUUGAGAACGUGCAGCUAUAUCUUCAGUGAAUUCCUGCAUUAAAUAUUAAGUGAUUUAUAAUUUAGGUGGCUAUAAAGGAAAUGACAGGAUAUAUAAAAUGAAAACUAUCUGGUCUUUUUCAGCAGUUUCUUGAUAGGAUGAUGAUAUCACCUGAAAUCCAAUAUGCAACCUCUUCCCACCCCUGUGAUAGGGUACAAUAACAGGGCGCUUGCUGAUGUAUUCUUUGCAGAUAAGUGGUUCUACUCUGUAUGAAAGCCCAGCCUAGAUUCAUGUAAUAUGUUCCCUCAUUUCAAAAUAGAACUUCACAUUAACAAGCAAAUGACAUGACAAAUGAUCUAGCACAGCGUAUGCCGAACCGGCCCGUACCGGCCGGUACGGGCCGGUACAAACCGGUCCGGCCAACUACCGGUACGGCGGAGCUGUGGAAACCGGUACAGGCCGGUUUCUUGCCGGAGACGAAGAAGACGANNNNNNNNNNNNNNNNNNNNNNNNNNNNNNNNNNNNNNNNNNNNNNNNNNNNNNNNNNNNNNNNNNNNNNNNNNNNNNNNNNNNNNNNNNNNNNNNNNNNNNNNNNNNNNNNNNNNNNNNNNNNNNNNNNNNNNNNNNNNNNNNNNNNNNNNNNNNNNNNNNNNNNNNNNNNNNNNNNNNNNNNNNNNNNNNNNNNNNNNNNNNNNNNNNNNNNNNNNNNNNNNNNNNNNNNNNNNNNNNNNNNNNNNNNNNNNNNNNNNNNNNNNNNNNNNNNNNNNNNNNNNNNNNNNNNNNNNNNNNNNNNNNNNNNNNNNNNNNNNNNNNNNNNNNNNNNNNNNNNNNNNNNNNNNNNNNNNNNNNNNNNNNNNNNNNNNNNNNNNNNNNNNNNNNNNNNNNNNNNNNNNNNNNNNNNNNNNNNNNNNNNNNNNNNNNNNNNNNNNNNNGAAGCACGGUACGAACCGGCCCGUACCGGUCCGGUAGGCAACCGGUACGCCUACCGGACCCGGUACGGUGGACCUUGAUCUAGCAUGCAUAUUUUGUUUAUGCUUAACAUUAUAGAGUGAAACAACUUUUGAAGGUAUUAUCGCAAGUGUCAAGUCUCCACAGCAACAAAUGAAAUGGGCAUUUUAAAUUCAGAAAAAGCUAGUAGAUAUAGGACAAACCUGUAAGCCACAGGAUCAAAGGGAUGGAAAAUGUUAAACAUCUGCCUGCAAGAUGGCAUCUCUUCAGAUAUUUUUUCAUCUUGCCAAUAAUCUUGCCCCCUGCCUUUAAAUCAAAGAUCAUGGUUCUAAGAAAGCUGCCAGGAGUGAAGAUACAUGAAAGAAAUUGCUGAACAUAUAACAUAGUACUUGUUGCAAAUUGCAACAAUCAGCAUUUGACAUAACACUAUAGAUGCAUAUUAAACAAACAACACCUAACCAUGACAAGCUGUCAUAUGAAUUCUAGCAAUUGAUAAUUGCAAUACACAUUACUUUGAUAGUUUAGGACUUGAUACCACUUUGCUACCUUUGGCAAACUUGCCUUCAUGAACACAUAACCGCUACACAGUGUUUUAGGAGGAAACAGAGCAGGUGAACUCUUACUGGUACAAAGACCAAAACAUCAACUAGUGUAAACUGAGAAAGCUCAUUCUGAUAGGAGACUAUGAUCAAUAUGCCUCAUCCAUUUCUCACAAGAAAUAAAUUCUAGGCUUUAAGAUAAUAUAUCAAAAAUUGAUCUUCCUUAUAACCGCAGUUCAAUAACGCACCACCAAGACAGGUCCCACAACAACCUUUGAAACUUAAUUUCUCAUUUUGAGUUGUUGAUGCUAAUGGUACUUCAAUUAAAUAACAUGUAGUUUUGUAUUUCCAUGACUUCAGUGUUUAUUUCACUGUAUCUUUAUGGUUUCAUGUGUUUACUUUACCCAACACAAAAUACUAAGGCAUAUAAAUAAAUCUUUGCCACUAGAUCAAAAGAAUCUAAUAACAGAGAAACACAAUCCAAAAACUGGGAAAAGCCUUGAUGGUAUCAUCGAUGAGAUAUAACCUAUAAAUGUACUAUUCUGGGUCGUCAGAUUUGGCUCCUGAAAAUUCUGAAGCCAUAUUCCUUAGCUUCUCAGGUCAUUUGCUAAUAUCCAAAACCACCCUUUAUAAUCCAUUCAGUUUAGAUUGUUUUCAGAGAUCCAAAACCUAACCUUAUUCAGGAUCCAAACCUGUAAAUUUAAGGUCAGUUCAGCCGAAGGAUAUAAAAGAAGUUUCAUCUACUACUUCUAGCAGGAGGAGAGACUGAAUAACACUUACAGGAAUUAGUAAUCACAUUUUUUUUCACUAAGUACAUAUAUUUUUCCAAAUAGGAAUAAGGGGCUCAUCAUGAGGUGUGUAAUUUCAAGACCAUGAAGGAACAGAAAAAUAAGCAGAAACCAGCUCUUGAGCAUGGAUCAAUGGGGUAAUCAAACAGAAAAUAGCACCAUAAAUCAAGAUAAGAAAAAAAAAGAUAGAAAAUGCAGUAAGGCUUGUUUACCUAUUCCUAUGCGGAUAUUCCGAAGGGCAAGAAAAACUCCAAGAGGUGAUCCGACAGCAAAGAAUGUAUCAACCUGAUGGGCAUAUAUAAAUGUGCCACAUAACAUGUCAGUGUAGAAAGAAAUGAAAACAAUAUCAGCAUACUCCAUGUACAAACAUAUGAUACAGGAAAGACUAACAUAUGAAGGUCGACUGGAAUGGAAGAUAUUCCCAAAAUCAGGGGAGAAGAGGUGGAAUGUAAUAACAAAUCGCAUAGAUGAGAAAAAAAAAUUAGACCAUGUUACCUUGAAAUCUAGCUUAGUGUAUUUAACAUAAGGUGUAUAGCUCCUUUUGUCAUCUUCCUCUGUAGAGAGAUUGCUAAGAGAGGAUUGUUUAAUUGUAGAUUUAACCUCUUUUCCUGCUACAGAACAAAGACAAGCCCAAGAAAAUCGUGUUAUAUGACUACAGGGUAUUACAUACAAGCAAAAAUCUGCAGAGUUAUGAUGGUAAUCAAAAAACUAUUCAUUGCCUUGAUCAAAUUCACGGUUGCCAAUUUUCUCACAAUUAGGGUAACUUGUAGUGCAAAGAUUAUGUUCAAGCUCUGCAAUCCUCACUUUAAGGGCCUUCACCUGUAUCACACACAUUUACAAUAUGAAUUCCUAGUCAUACUUCCACGUAAAACAUUUAAGAAAGAAACAAAAAUAUUUAUAAUAGAACAAAAAAAAUCACCAUUUCAAAUCAUGUCGUAAGAUCAACAAAAUCAAUAAAUAAAAUCUCCAAUAUUUUAUCAUGAAAAGGUUAUUAGUUUAUUGAAAGAUCAGCAAUUAAUCCAUACCUCUUCAUCCAACAAGGAGAUUAAUUUGUCUUUAUCAAUUACGUCUUUAGACAUCAUUCCAGCAACUUUAACUGCAUCACCUUCAUAAUCUCCAUUUCCUGUGGUUGGACUUGCAUUAGAAUCUCUUUCUUCUGCAUUGAAUGUAGCUCCAGAAUGCUGACCAAACUCUUUUCCAGCUUCCUCCGUGACCAACAUAUCAAUAUCUAGCUUUUCAGUUAUAUUUCGUGGAACAGAAUCAUCAGACUCCUCUUUAGGAUACAUAAAGCCACUACUAUUUGAGGAAUCCUCUAACACGUCUGCUGAAAUGUCUUGAGAAUUAUGCUCGUUAACCAUGAUAUACGGAUGCGACAUAGAACUGCCUUCCGUAGCUGUACAUGCCAGCUGUUCCAAAUUUGCACCAUUUAUGUUAUUGUUGUUAUUUUGAGAAGUCAUGGUACCACUGGAUACAAAAGCUUGGCAGGAGGCAUCAGCUACAGACUCUUGCUCUGGUAUCCUUUCCAUGUAAACAGACUCCAUAGGAAAAGGUGAACAUAAGCAUUCUUGAUGGCAAAGGAUAUCAUAAGACAGUACACUUCCUAAUGAGUGACCAUAUAUUGAAACCUGAAAACAGUAACAUGCAUCUGUAAAACCCACCCAAGGUUGCCAUGACAACAAAGAAGACAAAUAUUGCUCAGUUUAUACAUUUCACUACAAACCUUCCCAUUGUAGCCUGGAUUUCUUUUGAGAAACUUCGCAUACAAUCUGUUUAACUGGUUUGAAACCUGAAAGCAUGAUUUAUAAGUUAAAAGAGCUCUACUAAUGCAGUUUGAGAUUCGGAUUUGUAACAUUAGAUCGCUCCCUCCUUUUUAUUUUCAUGCUAUUGAUUGGAAAAUUUCACUGGUGCAAUCUGUUCAAUUUUAUUAACCAUGCUAAUUUUUUAGGCAAAACUUGUUAUUCAGAUAUGCUAUCUUCAAUAUUAACCUUUAAACCCUAAGGUGCAUUUGAAGAUGCCGAAUGGUGGGUUUUGCUCCUGUGCUAGCCACUAUAACAAUGAUUAAAUUCAUUAUCUUCAUAUUUUAAUACAUAUGAAUACAAACAUUUUGGAAUGCAUUAGUUUCUAAAAUCCUUUGCACUUUUGCAGUAUUUCCCAAUUUUAGUCAACAUGUACCACUGUCAGUGAUAUGGCCAGCAAACAAUUUUCUUUUAGAUCAUUUGCUUUUGUAAAAUCACUAGGUAACAAAAAAUACAAUUUAGCUACGGUUUUGUCUAUAUAGAAGCUAAAGUUGUGUCAAUGCAAGUAGAAGACACACAUAACCUACAUGAAUCAUGCCAUAAAUCAUACAGAAAUUAUCCACAAAGAGUGGCGAUAGAUCGCUCAGACGUCCAAGCCAAUAUCAAUGAUACAAAGUCAUUGCAAACCAAGAGAAGCAUAAGAUUUAUUUUCUACAAUAGUGUGAUAUCUUUCACCCAAGGUUCCUAAAAGUUGGGCAUUAAUGAAAGUUGGUUUCAGCAUCUCUCAUCUGAACUAGCAAACACAAAUGUUGAAAUGCAUCUCCAGUCAAAGAUACAGCUCAAAUGCACAGAAUCUGUAAGUACCCUCUCAAGCAUCAUAAUAUUUGCAACACUGCACAAUAACUACAACAAGCCUUAUUAGGUGGAUUGUGUGAGCAGAUCAACUAUUGAAACAAGAAGGUGCCUAUACUGAGAAGCAACAUAGUUGUACUGAUUGCCUUGAUUUGAUAUCUUCUGAUGUAUACUAAUUCCUUCUUCCAAUUUCACUUCUAGAAUUUCAGAUCAAUUUUGUCUGUAUCAAACCAUUCACCUAGCAAAGUUUCAAUUGACUGCUAUUCUCAUGCUCAAUUUUGUUUGAGUAGGAUCACAGGAUCCUAUCUUCAAACGCAUACCCUUCAAGAAUUCUUCUCUUAAAUUCUACAAAUACUUAUAGUCAUUCAUAUAUUCUAUUGUUUGAUUCUUGUUAUUUGGGGCUAAUGUACCAAAAGAUAAGCUAUCCAUUAGUUCCAAAUAGAAAUAGGUCUUACAAAGUGUUAAUCAGUCAAUUCAAGGUCAGAGAAUCAUAUAUACUUAAAUGAAAUAGAAUAGAUACUCAAGUGAGUUACAGCAAAGCAUAGGCCAAGAAUGGCCCAACAAUGACUUGAGGAAUGCCUUUACAGCAUGUGGUAAUCACCCUUAUUGGACUUAGGUCAAUCUGCAUGACGGUUAUACUCAAUUGCUAGAUAAUGUUAAGAUGGUGUUCAAUAAGGGUUAUGUCAUACAGACACUUACGCCCAGCUCCAAAAAUCCAUGUCAGAUAGAUAUCCAAAUUGGAUACAUUUCAAACACUUGAAUACUCAUGAAAUUCUUUGGUUGCAGCUUUUGAAGAUUGGUUGAGAGUUGGAUUCUUCCAACAUUGAGUUUUACAGGUCAUUUUGAAUCAAAAGUCAGUAUUUGUUCUUCUCGGAGCUUGUUCAAGGAAGUGGGUGCUGAAAUAACUUAUCAAAAAUUUCUUUUUCUUACAUCAGUAAGUUAAUUAGGAGGUUUGGACAAAAGACUUGUAUCAAAACAUUAACAAAUAAUAUCUUUUUUAAUGUUUUAAAAAAGUUUUUUUCUAACAUUUAAACAAACAAGGAUGAAGGUAUAAAUACAUCUAAUUUAAUUAAAAUUAUAUUCAUCCUAUGCAUCCCUUGAUCUACUUUUUCUUCCUACAGAGUUGGACACUUGGGUAUGAAUUUAAAUCCGAUUCUUAUAUCCAUUAUGAGGAUGAUAAUGUUAUUUCGAUGAUUAACACAACAAUAGAAAGAAUAUCAAAUUAGCAAUACAAUUUAACUUGAUACAUCACUAAGGAAUGGUACACCCUCAAUACAUUCACGAUACAUUGAGAAAAUGAGAUCAAGACGACCCUCAAUGAUUAACAACGAGAUAAAACAUGUAGUAGAAAAUGAUAGAGAGCUUUUAAAUCUAUUUCGGCAAAGUUUCAAGUCAAGUAUACCUAAAGGGCAAAACUGUAAUUUUCAUUGUUAAGGGUAUGAAGUUCUAUCGUGCCAUACACUCAAAAUUAUUAUAAAUAUGUACUAUUGAUCCUAUGAACUAGUCUAACCUUAAGAUGUAGGAAAUUGUGAGUUGAGUCGACCCCAAAGAAGUUUGGAGUCGACUCUGAUACAUAUGGCACGCACUGGAACGGAGUGACACACUUGGCACAGAGUUGGAGUCGACCCUGGUACGUUUUGGGACGAUCUAGCACAUCCUUGCAAAAAUGGCACAGAUGAACAGUAACUGGGGCCGACCCCAAUAAUCCUUGAGCCGACCCCAAAGAACUAUGAGCCGACCCCAACUUGUGAACUCAAAGAAAACAACUCUCUGGAAAUUACUGAGAGGGCCGACCACAAGUUUUCUUGAGCCGACCCCAGGAAACCCCAAGGAAGCAUGAGCCGACCCCAGGAAACGAACUCAAAAACCAUGUCUCUGGAAUUCCUGAGAGGGCCGACCCCACUGAAGCUUGGGUCGACCCCAAGAAAGCAUGAGUCGACCUCAGCGUGAAGAGUCAGAAAAACAAGCUUCUGUGUUUCUUGAGAAGGCCGACCCCACUGUAGCAGGGGCCGACCCCAGAAAAGUUUGAGUCGACCCCAAGACAAAUGAACAGUGACUUGAGCCGACCCCAGUAAAGCUUGAGUCGACCCCAGCAUGGGAGACAACCCAACGGCUAGUUCUGCAAAUAUACUUUUAGGUCUCCAACGGCUAGAAACGGCUAGUUUUUCAAAUCCAACACCUAGGAAGUGAUCAUCUGAGAUUGGGAAAGUAUUUAAGAGGCACUAUUUAUCAGAGGAAAGAACUUUUGGAAAAAUCAAGAAGCUUAUUUAAGAGAAAACCCUAGAAAAGAAAGCCUCAUUCAAUUGCUUCAUCAUUAGAGCCAAAAGAAAGUGGUUGAGCAGCUUCAAAGCAUCAUCAAUAGCUCUGCCAACCCUUGUGAAGUGAAGCAAGCUUGACAAAGAAGAGAACAGCUCCUCCAAAGCGAUAAACUUUCUCUAAACUCUUCUUUGUUGUUCAUAUUUGCCUUAUUUGCUCUCUUAGGAGCUCUCUUCCUUUAAUUGUUAAUCUUGUUGUAAAGGUUUGUUGGUAAGCCCGUAAAACCAACAUUGUAGGUUGUUGGUGAGCCCGCAAAACCAACAUAGGUUAUUGGUGAUCCCAAAAAAUCAAAUUGUAAAGGUUUUGGAUUAUGAGCCCGGAAAACAAUCCAACUGUAAUCCGCCGGAUUAUAGUGAAUUCCCAAGAAGACGCUUGGGGAGUGGAUGUAGGUGCUUGGGAGAGCACCGAACCACUAUACUUCUUGUGUGUUUGUGUUGUGUGCUUUUCAAUUUCAUUACACGCAUUCAAUUAACAUAAGCUAAAAAUUGAGAGAACCCAAUUUACCCCCCCCCCCCCCUCUUCAUAUGUAAUACAGAAUACAGGUAUCCAAAUUAUCAUGCAUACAAAUGAAAUUUGGAAAUAAUGAAUCAGUAGGGGAUAUAUCCCUCUCACCUAGAAUGCACAUCAACAAAAAAAGAGGAAAGGGAGGAGGAAAACAUCAAACAUCUGCAUGCAAUGUCAUGACAGCAAACUCCUUUCAAAAGGACUACUUCAAAUGGCAUGCUCAAGACCAAAGAUGAAAAAUUGACAAGAAAAUAUUUUGGCAUAUAAAACUAAGUGAAUAUCAAGCCAUGGAAUGGUUAAGGUAAAGGAUAACGACCUCAAUUUUGAAAAUGGAUUUAUUUUAGAAAUAUGAAUUCCACCAGAUGGGUAGACUGCAUUGUCAAAUAAGCCAUUUACUGGAGAAAAUUAAGAUCUCUAAAUUUUUCUUCUUGAAGGAAACAAGAAUUACAUUUCCUAAGAAUGAAGUUCCUAAAAGCAAAUUACUUUCUCAAUCACAAGACCCUGAAAGUUCAAUUAACUGAUAUUACAGAACACAGAACAAUAAAAAAGAAAACCGCUAACACUCCUUUAGAAGUGCUCAAAUUGAUGUUUUUUAGUUAUUAACAGUAUAAGGAUUUUGACCAUUUAUAAGCCUUUGCCCUUCCCUUGUGGAUGCACCUGAAGGAAUCAGGGUUGGACACCAUACAAUUUGGAUAUCAUAAUCUUAAUAAAAAAGUUACAUUGAACUAGACAAACAAAAUCCAGCACUUUGCAGCUUUACAUGAGACUAUAAAGGUUAGAUGUUUGAACUGGUGAUCUGGCCAUAAAAAGCAGUGUAUGCCUUCACAAGUGCCAGGUAAUAGUACACAAGGAGGUAGAAAAUCAAGAAUUAACAAGUGAUUAAAUCCCCACAAAAGAAGUGAACAAGUAGAGAAAGGAUGUUACAGCAUGCAAAUCCAUAAUUUUACUCCAAAAACCAUUACCAAGCUCAUUCUUUUAUAAACGCAACAAUUCUUUCAAAUAUAUUUUUCCAGUUGCUUCCAAGAACACAUUGCAUUGUGCUUUCUAUCAUUGCUCCAGCGAACAACAAUACAAUUACAGGCAUGAUUACAAGGAAAUGAAAAAAGAUUAUUGAAAAAAAGGGUACGGGUUAUUUAAGGUGAUUCUAGAUAUAAGACGAUUUGCCUAAGACAAUAAUCUUGCUCUCUAAUUAGCCUACCAACACAGUUAAUAAUGGUAAAGGUUCGGGAAUAUUAGCAGUCAGUAAACCAAAAAAAGUACAUAUACAUCAAAGGAAUGUCCAUGAAAAGAAGGAAAAAAGUUACCGAGUCAAUUAUAUCUUGACAGUAUAUUGGGCUCAUGUAGUAUAGAACAUCAUGAACUGUAGCACUUAAUGUUACACGCAGACCCCGGACACCAUCCAAGGUGAUCUUUUCAACUGCACUUUCACCACUGAGCUUCAGAGCCCUUCUCCACUAGAAAUACAAAUGACAUGAGAAUUCAUGCAAGAGAAGAAAGAAAGAAAGAAAAUACAUUACACAAACCAGACAGAUGAGAUCAGAAAUAAACUGAUAAUGGCAUCAUAGACUACUUCUGACAGACUAUAGAUACAAAAUAGAAAUUACACUAUUUCCAUCAAAUAAUCUGGAAUCACAUAGUGAACUGGAGAAAAAGAAGCACAAGAUUAUAGAUAGGCUGUAUGCAUGAAAACUACAAGUCCAUUCUUGGUUUAUGAAUUGUGCGAAAACAAGAAUCAAGACAUAAAGUUCUACUUUACCUGAAUUCUGUUUAAGCAAAAACAGAGCAACAUAAAGUUUGAUGCAACAGGCACUUUUAAAGGCCAAAGUUGGACAUUAUUUAUCAUGUCAACAUAAAAAAGAAGUUAUCUUCGAACAUAAAUGGCAUUGAAUUAUGUUCUAGAAUAAUAAUAUAGUGGUUUAAGGAUAAUCAGAUUGCACUACUUUUUCUAGAUAUUAAAAAAUUAACGGUUACUGAGUAUGAGAACAAAAGAUGGUUGGAUGGGUUAAGAGAGUCCUGUUUUCAAAGCAGAACCUAAAUUCAUAGCCACAACUAUGAUGGUCGUCCUCAAAUUUGGGUAUCCAGUGAUUGACAAAUUCAUUAGGGAAUUUAGAGAUUUUGUGUCAGCUUCAUUCCUUCUCUGGUACAAUGUGAGCAUCCCUAGAGAGCAAUAAGAAGUCAGCUUUUGUUACCACAAAUAUUUUGUGGAUGUUUACAGUCAAGAGCUUUCUAGUGAAUGGAGGAACCUAGCCACGUGGACACCUCAUGAACUGAAAGAUGUUCUGGAAGUUACAAUAUAUGUAAGAUGAAACAGGAGUAAAACAAGAAGCUCCAAACAUAAGAGGGAAAAACCAUUGACUGGGAAAUCCCAAAAAAGGUCAACUACGAGAAUUUUAUCAAAGUUUUCCUCUUUAGAGUUGGACAAAUAAAAAUUAGACCUUUAACAGCAAAAGCAACUCGCCAUUCAUCUAUAUCAAUUCACCCAAAAACAUUAAGCUUCUGGUUCCAUGUUCUAGCAUCUCACCUUUUAAGCAGAAGUGGCCAGCCGAGGUGGGCAUGCCAAGGAUUAUAAAAUAUCGGAGGCCACAAGUUCCCUUGCAAGCUAUUGUAUUUCCAAUUGUUUGUUUUCAUUAUGUCCUACUAAAAGGCAAAUAGAGACUUGAAUUUAGAGGGCGAGCAUUGGCGCAAAGGUAAAGUUGCUCCAUUUUGACCUGGAGGUCAUGGUUUAGAAACACAGCAAUAGCCUCUCUGCAAGCAGGUGCGUACAUCUAACCCUCUCUAGACCCCACAGCAGUAGGAGCCUUGACCACUGAGCCCAAGGUUCGCGGUACCGAUGGUACCGACGUACCGGUCGGCUCCGGUAACGGUACAGUACCGGUGCCGAACCGAGCCGACACUGUACCGAUGGGGCACAUUCGGCCUGGUUUCGACCCCAUCGUCGUUUUUUUUUUUGGAGUUCUUUCACUUUUGGAUAUUUUUGAUGUUUUUAUGUUUAGGUUUAAGGUUAAAAGUAGAUGAUGCAACUUAUUACUUCCAAAUGAUUCAAAUAAUGAGAUGAAGAACAUAAAAUAUUUUCAAAUUAAGAUACAAUCAAUUACAUACAUUUAAAGCACUCUCGAAUAUCUAAAAUCGGGUUGAGUGGCACUUUGAAAAGUGCCCCAGUGUGGCACUUUUGAAAGUGCCAGCCUCUGGCCAGUGCUGUGGCAUUUUCAAAGUGCCACAGCGCUGGCACUAUUUUUCAGAAGCGAACCGGUGCGAACCGAGCACAUGUACGAGCGAUUCGCACCGGUUCACACAUAUACCGGUGCGAACCGAGCCGGUUCGCACCGGUACGAGGCUCCAACCAAACGGUUCCGACCCAUAUUGGGUCGGAACCGUUUUAUACCCCUGUACCGGACCGGUGCGGCUCGGUACCGGUCCGGUACGGGCCGAACCGACCGGUACAGGUCGGUUCAGCAGACCUUGACUGAGCCACCCCUUUUUUUUAAAUAGAGACUUGAAUUUAAAACCAACAAAAGGUUAAUGGAAAGAUGCCUUCAAGCAUGCAAGGAUGCAGGUACAUGGAUGGAUGGAUGGAUGAGAAAAAACAUUCUCAGACCAGUAAGUAGUAGGCAUGGUAAUUUCCUUCGCUUUGUUUCUCAGACAGAUAGUCGGACAGAUAGCCAGUAAGGAAUAUUCCACAAAGUAUGACAAAAAGAAAUACAUCCUCAGACCACCAAGUAGGAGGUUUGGUACUUAACUUUGUUUCUAGGACAGAUGGCAAAUAAGGGAUAUCUCACAAAGUAUGGAAAAAAAGUAAGUGAAGUUAGGUCCAGUGUUUCUGCACUUUCUUUGAUUCAAAUUUAUAUUGUUCAUCAUUACUCCUUUUGGCCGGUCUCCCACUUGUAAUUUUAUAGUAGUUUAUCAGCCAAAAAUAUUAGCGCUGGUGCAUGAGUAGCAUUCUGGCAACUCCUUUUUUUGGAGCAAAUCAAGAUUUUUAUAAAUAUCUACUUUAUGAGGGAGGGAAUCAUCUUCUCCAUAUAAAAAAACUUCAGUAAAACAGAAAGAAAGAAAGAAAGAAAGAAAAGCAAUAUAUUGUCUUUACCUGACAAGGAAUAAAGAGGACCCUCUGGGUGCUUCUCUGGUAUGGAGUUAAGUGCCUUUCAGCUAGACUAGCUGUUAUACGACGAAAAUCACCAACAUCAUCGACUAAAUUAGCUUUCUCUAACCUCUGUCCAAUACCAUGAACCAUGAAAACUAGGUGGCCGACUGGCACCUGUGAAACAACAAAUAAAGCAAUAUAAAUAGCGAGGUUAGGAUACAUUUUUUUAUUGAUUGAAAGAUUGUAACUUCCGUUAAGUUUGUAUUGAAAUUUGAGUGACGUUAAGCCAUUCCAACAAACAUGGAAAUCAAUCUUGGUCAAAAAGCUUUCUCCUGUCUAUUUGGGUUGGAGGCAACUUGGGCUAAAUUAGUAUAAGCUUUGUCAACCUCCAAAAAGAUUUGGGCCAACUUGAAUUUUUUUAUGUAGGACAGCAAGGGGUUAAAACAGUUUAAAGCUAACUCCAGCAUAGAUCUGAUUUAACAUCUUGCAGAAAAUCAAUCUGCUGUGCCAAUAACCCAGUGAAGAAGAAUAGCAGCAUAAAUAAGAGAGAAUAGUAGGAAGUAAAGAUGAAAUAAGGUGAAAUAAUAAAAGAAGAAGAAGAAAGAAAUAGAAAAGAAAAUAGGUAUACCAGAGAGAAAGAUAAGAAAAGUCAAGCAUGACCUAAAGAAAUAUUUUCAUUCAUUCAAAACAAGUCGCAUACAAUGCUUUUUCAUUCAACCCUAACAUAUCCUUUUAUAAACUUUACAUGACUUGCUUUCCAAGCAAACUAGGGUUCCUGAUUGGCAAAUAAUUAAUCUCUAAAAUGUUUUCUAUAAAGCAAAAUUUGGAAUAGCACAUAAACCUAUACAGAAAGACACCUAAAACUACCAAAUAUCAUAUCCUAAUGAUUUCAUGACUUGUCCAACCCAACAUGAACCUAAUAUAACAACACAAAAGAUGAAAUAAAGGUAAGGUUGUAGCUUCAAUUAUUUUAACAACUAAAAUGCUAAGAGGAAGCCUCGCUGCUUCCUUUACGAUCGUCCAAAAUAGGGAGCGUCACCAAAAACAAAAUCAAAAAGGAAUCUACAUACCUAGGACACAAUUACGCCCAGAUAAUAAGCAAUUGUGAUUUCUAUAUGUCAGUUAUGCUGAUUAAAACUAGUUUGAAUAUCAUCUAAAAGGACCUCUUACUAUCAACAUAAAGAGCAUGCUGAUCCUCUCACCAAAGAAUUAUUCACAUUAGAUAGGUAUACAUUCAUCUAAAGCAAGAAAUCAGGUAAAAUGCAUAAAAAUCAUAUGGUGACUAACUGCGAUUUCAGACAGAAAGAAAAGAAGAAAAAUAUAAUGUGGAAUAGCUUGCAAAGUGAUGCAUAAUAUCUAAAUCUAAAAUAUAAAAACCUGAGAACAAUAAUCAUCCAUCUCCUCCUCUUUUCGUUGGCGCAAUUCAUCCUGGAGAAAAGCAUCAAAAUGACCAUCACUUGACCAUUCAAGAUCUAAAAUAACAAGCCAAUAGUUUUCAAGCAUGACCAAUUUUUGCAAUAUUUAGACUUAACUUUUGCUUCUGACAUGGACAACAAGUUGCUCAUAUCAACAAAUUCUAACUUAUUGAUGAAUAAAAAAAUGUCAAACAACAAUCCUAGUCCAUUUGAUAAAUUGCUCAAAACUAUGAAAAUUGCGAGCAUUAAAGCAGUCAUUACAGAUAUUUGGGAUGAUAUAUGAUCCUAGAUCUUCUCCACAUAUGAUCCUAGAUCUUCUCCACAUAGUUAAGACGAUGGUGAUUUGUUCAAAACAUGUCUAUCAAAUAAUAUAAAGCAGUUAAAGGUAGUAAUUUAAGACAGAAAACAAAUACUUGUCGUGCAUUAUCUUUCAAAAGGCCUAAGUAGCUCCCAUGCUAAUUGCUGCUAAUUACUGGCACAGUAUGCCAUAGUACAUGUACUAUCACCAAGUCAAUGCGAGCAUGACAACAUCACCAGCUUCUCACUUGAAAAACCAAAAAUAUGGAAAUUCCUUUCCUUUUUCAAUUAAGCAUUGCAAAGAGCGAAGGCUUGAAUUUCCUUGUUGAGGUCAUUUUAUUUAUUUAAUACCUCCUCUUUAUUUCAAUCAUGUUUCUCUCUCAUUAGUGCACCAGUUCCAUGAUUUUUGCUACAAAUAUUUCUCCCUCUCCCAAACUUAUUCCCAAACAUUCUGUUCAUGUACCUAUCAUUGAGAACCAUGUUCAUCUACUAAUUAAGUCUCUUAUUUCAUCAUUUCAAGUAUAGAUCAAUUUAAUUUUAGAUACAAUUUCUUUUAAAUCCUUAUUUAUCUUAUAUGCAUGCUUCAACCUAAUUUUUAACACUCCACAUGUAUUCCUUCUCACAAUGUAUUUCCAACACUCAUUUCUCAUCUCCUUUCCAUCCCUUAUUUCAAAACUCAAAAACUAAGGUCCUAACUAUCGAAAAAAUCAGGCACAUCUCGAAGUACCAACCCCACUACAAGAAUUGCUGAUUAAUCAUUCAUACAUGGAAAAUAAAGCAAGCUAAGAAGUAAGAAGGAAGGGUGCUCAAAUGCAAUUUAAGUAGUCAGUAAGCUAGGUUUAGUUAUUUAUUGUAUACUCCCAUUAUCCCAUUUUUACUUCCUAUUCAAGUAUAAUUUAUAGUGGAAAUAUAUAGAAUCUACGACUACGGAUUCCUGCUAAGCUCUACAAAAUGAGAAUUUAGAUCCAGUGAAGCCUAUAUAUUUGACAUGAUUUUGGACUAAUACUAUAUCAACCAAGUCAUUAUACCUUAGUACUCCCUAUAAAAGAUUGUCAAACCAUCAAGAACCAGGCAAUUUGAGACAUACUCUACUGAACUAGCUAGGCACCAAGAUAGUUUAGUCUUUCAAUUUGGAGUGGAAAGGGGCCAAACUACUCCAGACCAAGUAGAACCAAUAAUUUUGCCCAUGCUUCACCAUACCGGCCCGAAUCAGGCGGUACGGGGCGUACUGUACUGGUUUAGUAUUGGUAUCUGGCAAGGAUGGUGUACCGACACUCGGUAUGUCGAAAAGAUUCCGUACCAUAUCAUACCAAAUACCAAUAUAGUGCUAGUGUAGCACCGGUAUGGGGUUCGGUAACGAGACGACAAACCUUGGUUCUGCCAAUUCUAGGCAAUAUUGACUAGCACUUGUCAAUCUAGGUGCAUCCCAUGUUCUCUAGAUCUUCUAUGUUGUGGCCAAGAUUGAGGACCUCCCCCUCUCCCGCGGUGACCUCGUCCUCGACCACCAAGCCUCUUCCUCCACAAGCUUUGGAUCUACACCCUCAAAUCCACCCGCAAGGAGGCCAAGUGCCAAACCCUCCUCAAGCUCAUUAACUUCAUCUAAUCUAACUCCAGCUGCAUCACCAAGCCUGUUCAAGAGGAGCUCGUCCACAUCAUUAGCACCAAAAUCUUCCACAACCUCUCACUAGCAACUUGCAAGACUACUGGAUCCUCGAGCACCGAGUUAGAGAAGGAUCCCUACCUCGAUCUUGCUUGGCCCCACCUCUAGUUGUCUAAAAGCACCUCCACUACGUUGUCUCCUCCAACACCAACACCAAGGUUGCUAAGUGUUACAUCGACCACUCCUUCAUCCACCACCUCUCUUCGAUCUCUUCAACUCUACCCCACAAGCACAAGUACUGGUAUUUGCCACCGUAUCAAGUGUUGCUAUUGUAAGAUACCAUAUCGUACUAACACAGUACUAGACUAGCAUGGUCAUGAUAUCCAAAUUUACUCGUUGUGCCUGUCAAGAACUCUUUUUGGAAAGACAAAGCCAUCUCUCUCACACACACACCCACACAUAAAUACUUCCUCGGUACUUAUAUACUCUAUAUAUGUUUUAACCUUAAUUGCUAAUUCUCUUGCUGUAAUUAUCACUGGCUUCCUUUCCUAAUUGCCGUUUAAAGCUCCAUUUUCCAUAUCAAAGUCCUCUUUUUCUGGAACUUUAUUCAAAUCAUUCAUUUAUUUGGUAGUUAGUACACCUAUCAGCUCCCUUUCAGUUACCAUUCAGUCCUUUUUUGAGAUUGUGUUGAUGGGUUUGAUAUAGCAUGUGGAAUACUUUUAGUAUGAGUUACAUUCUUCUGUUAUGUAAAUCAGAUUUUGCCAAAGGAAAACAAAAAAAGAUAAGAGCUAUAAUAUUAAACUAGAUGCAAACUAGCAAAGACAAUUCCUAGACUGUCAUAGCCUCUCAGGCUAAGCAGUAAAUACUACCUUGAUGGACUGAAAAUAACCUAAUUAAGCUACUGGAGAUCAGAGAAUGCAAAGCUAAAGCAAAACACACAACAAGAUCAAGAAAAUAAUUGUUUUCAAUCUAAAAAUAAUUGUUUUCUUUUUGUUUAUUUUGUUGCUUAUGUGUCAAUCUCCAGAACUUAUCAGCAUCAAAUCCAUACAAGAUGUGCAUAUGUUCACUUCAUGUGUGGAUUAAUUGAAACAAUCCUGGACUACACAUGGCAUGUCCCUUGAUAGGCAUGCAGCAUAGUCAGUUAAUAUCUAAUUAUGCACCAGCAAGACUUAUAAGGAAAUGAACUUUAGUGAUGAAACUUAAAUGAAAAUUCUUUACAAUCAGAUCAUAUCAACUUCAAUAAAAUGCAUUCUUGGUAAACUAGUGGUAGCCUAGAGUGCAAGAAGGUAAAAAGAAGUUAAAUCAACUAGGAAGAUACAAUCUCCCAGCAAUAUACAAAAAAUAGGGGGUUCGAUACUUAAGCAGAUAAACCAACUUCAAAUGAAAGGGGUCCCGGCGGCACUCAUCAUUUGUGUGACAAAGGAGACAAGACAAUAUAUAUGUGGAUUUCAUGCAUUAGUAAACAAGAGACUUGCCAUAAAAGGCAGACCUGAGUUGGAUUCAGAGAUCCAGAAGGUGAAAAACCACGUCUUAGCUUGACACCAUUUCCUCUUCCAGCAUUAAGAGUAAAACUAGAGUUAUGAGAGACUAACCAAGCCUCCCAAGUAUCAUCCACUCCUGUGAAAAGAGCAUGCAAGCCCUGUGCAGCAAAUCAUUUUAGCAACAAUAUAUAGGUAAUAAGAGUUUUCCUCACUCCAUGGACAUUAUAUAUUUAUACACCUGUGUGGGGCCUUGCAGAUCAACACGGGCAGCAAAAAGGCCUGAAGGUUGAUAUGUCCGGCGAUGCCAAACCUGGACUCAAUGAAAAUUACAUUAUCAAGGCUUUUACCAUACAACAAGCUAACAUAACAUGUUAAGCAUCAUAGGAACAAUGAAGCAAUACAAUAUUUUGAGAAAGUAAAAUACUAAAUCAUACUUUCAACUUUCAAGUUUCAAAAAAGGAUAGCAGUAACAUAAGUUAUUGAUUCACAAGUCAAUAAUUCCACGCAUAUUCAAGUCACAGGACAAAGUAUAGUGAUGGAGAACAUUAUGUUGCCCUUUUGCUUUAACCUAUGAAAAUCAACUACAUAACCUAGCGACAGAAACUACAAUCAGUAGCACCAAAUGGAGUUUAUAUCAAGCCAAGUUUCCAAGACUGUAUGGUGCAUGCUUUGAACAUCCAAACUUCCGCCCAUCUGCACAUUAGCGGAGCUUUUCAGGUUCAUGCAAUCCAACAGUUAUUAACCAAUUAUACAAUAAUUAUCCAAAAGUUAUCUUCACAGAUACUAAUUCUGAAAGAAUACUAAUUGCCAUUUUAUUUAUCUAACAAGUAAUUUAAAAUUAAAAACCUUCAUUGUGUAUCAUUUAAAAUUACAUGUCAUAUAUAUGAAUGUGUGAUUUUUAUGCAGCCAUAUUCCUCUAUGUAUGCAAGGAGAAAAAGAGAGUAAGAGAAGUUGUACUAUAAUCAAGAAAUUAGUUUGCAAAUAUUGUAUCAUAAAAUUCAGUACCUGACAGCGGUAAGCCAACUCCAAUUGUUCCGCAACAUCUUCACGUAGGGGAAGCCAAUCAAGGCCACCUUUACAAGCAAACCAGUGGCCUCUCAAGACACGUCUGUUUUCACCAUGCCAAUAAACUGGGAAGCAGUGGCGCUUAGUUAGAUCUACCUGUAAUCAUCCAUAGAGUUAAUAAUCACAAAAUAUAUGUUACAUUUGAAAGUUAGGUUGUCUGCCCUGUGGCCAAUCAGCUCUUCUAUGGAAUGAAGACAUAUCCAUACCCUAUGUUAGGUAAUAGCAUUAUAUAUAAUGGAGGAGAGAAGGUGAAGAGGUUUUUCUGGGAAUAAUGCGAAUUCGAGUAUGCUAAUGCAAAUUUCAGCACAAUUUACAAAAAACAAUGAAGAGACUCGGUUCCAGAAUAGAUGCAAUUUAAUUAAAAUCUGAACUUUGACUUCAAUCCUGAAGCUAAGGGGGGAAAUCAAGGUUCGCUGUACCGGCCGGUACCGAGCGUACCGUACCCAUACCGAUGGGUACCGGUAUCGGUACACCAAUAUCGGUACAUCUGGCGUACCGCAUACCGUACCGUACCGACACUCGGUACGUCUAUACUAGUGCGGCACCGGUACUGGGUUCGGUACCGGUACGGCGAACCUUGAGGGAAAUGCUUAAAAAAAAGCCUGAGAUCAAAUUCACAACAAAAGGGUCAGUAGAUAGUGAGAGAAGGAAGAUCAUAGGAUAAACAUUAGUACUCACUACUCAGGCUCCAUUCUUUUAGAAGUAAGCUUUUUCGUGCAACAAAACUAAAAAGACCAAGAUCGAUCAUAAACUUCCAUCUAAUCAUGCUAAAUCACCAAAAAUAUUCUUUCCACAUAGACACGACAAUGGGCUUUUGACUUAAAUAUAUAAGCUACAUAUUUAGACCUCAUAAGCCUUACUAAAAUUAUAGAUGCAAAAGUUAUUUAUUUUUUACACAUAAACAAAGGACCCAAAAUGACCAUCCAUUAUGUUUGAAUGGAGACAAGGAAAAAGAAAAGAUAAAAAAAUGUAAAAUGCCUUUGGGAAAAAAAGACCCAACUUGCUGUCUCAUUUAACAGGCCUCAUUGUUGGCCAAACUGAGUAACUGGGCCAAUCCAAAGCCCUAUGGUGGGCUUUUGACUUGAAUCAUGCUAAAUAAUGAUUGAAGCUACACAUUUAGACCCCAUAAGCCUUGCUAAAAUUAUAUGUGCAAAAAUAAUUUAAAUAUACAUGCUAAACCACCUAAAAUAUUCUUUCUAUAAUAUCUAUAUAGAUACAACAAUAGGCUUUUGACUUCAACCUAUAAGCUACAAAUUUAGACCCUGCAAGCCUUGCUAAAAUUAUUUAAACAUACACAUAAUCCAAGACAGCCAAAAUGACCAUGCAUUAUGUCUGAAUGGAGACAAAUACUCAUAAAACUUAUAUAUUGAGAACCUCAAAAAAAAAAAAUGAAAAAUAUGAAAUGCCUUUGGGUGAAAACCCGACUGACUAUCUCAUUUAAUGGAACUCAUUGGUGGCUAAACUGUCACUAGGCCAAUCAAAGCCCAAAAAUCU
rnacentral:lncRNA from 1 species